UUAAGAGCGGGGUGGGGGUGGGGGGAGUAAAACACAGAGUUGCUGCCUGGAAUAAAAAGCAAACCAGAGAGAAAUAAUUGUCCUAAUUUAUAGCCGGGCAUAAAUCUCCAUGUGCUGCCAUUCAGAAGCAAUCGGAGGUGACUUGCCAGCAUGCACUUCUGGCUCAUUUGAGCUUGAAAGUGCCACCCAGCUGUUCCCAGGAUGUUGCUUUGCUGUGAAAUAGAUAUUUGUCAACUUAAAAACAACGAAACAGAAUUUGUGCGUUAGUAAAAUAUAGACUUCUCCCUCCCACCUCUCUUGCUGAAUCUUGCUCUAGCAGUUUUACGGAUGGCUAAUGCAGGCUUCCAGAGAGGUAUCACCCCACACUUUGCCUGCAUUGUGUACCUGGAUGUUGCUGGGCGCCUGGAAUGUUGGCUCUGGCAUGGUCCUCACCUGGAGCAAAUGGCACACUAUUGGAUCAAUGCAAGGUGGGCUUUGAUGUGGCCUGCCUCUCCUUUUCGGAAAACAUUGAAUAGGCAGAAGGGUCCUCAGUCACCAAAACCACCGGGCAGGGUUCAACUAAUGACUCUCUUCAGUAGAAACUGUGUUCAAGGACUUCUGCUUGCACAAUGGGCCUUUCUCCCCUCUCCUUCCUUUAUGCCCCCUGAAAUUGGCUCUGUGGGGGUAGGAGAACCCCCAGAACAGCAUGCAGGGAGCAGGGAGGAGAAGGGGUGUGUGUUGGUUGCCCUGAUGGAACGGUUGCCUUAGCAUGACUGAAUCCCUCCCUUUAUCUCUGAAAACCCCAUUGAAACAAACAUGAAUUUUGCCAGGCAUUACAGUAUUUGAAAUUCCAACACACCGGUAGUCAUUUAUUUCAAGACUUGCACAACAGUGAGACAACUUGGGCUGAAUGAUUCAGAAUAAAAUUGCUGGCGACUGCAACAGAUGGUGAUCUCUGGUAGGGUUGGGUGCACAUGCCCAAAUUAAAAAGAAAAAAAAGAGGAUGUUGGUCAGGCAUUGACCCAGGCCCUUGGCAGACAGGAGUGUCUGAACUGCCACUGUGGGUUCAUUUCUUAACCAGAGCUAAGAGUGCUCAUCUGUCAGUUUGACUGACUGACAGAUGGUUUGAUCACUGAGUGAAAAACAGAACAAGAGGCACUUGGGCAGGGGGAGGGGGUACCAAAUGGUGGAGUGUCAUUUCCCACCUUGCAGCCUGAUUGGGUGCAAAUGUAGGGCUUGCUGGGUGUGCUUCUGUAGAAGUAGGUGGGGUGGGAUUCGGGAAGGGUAGGGGCAGUGAGUAAAGCAGAACAUUGUUCAGGUCUCCUUGGUAGACCGUAAUGUACAAGCAGGAAGCUGGAAUCUCCUGCUGCAACCCCGACUCCCCUGGACAGCUUGUUGCUUGGCCUGGGAAGUUCAUCGGUCCCAACUCCAUAGCUUGUUCUGGGAUGUCACCUGAUGGGACAGGCGGGGCUGCAGCUCCUGAAGGAUUCAGAAGCGAAAGAGCGAAUAUCACACUUGUAAAUCUCUCUCCUUUUCCCCCUCCCCACUGCAAGGUGUGUGUCAGGAAAGUCCCCGCACCUUGCAGAGAAGAAGGCAGCUAAGAAAACCUGCUGGAGGCAGUGAUUCUUCUGAAUACCAGUUGCUGGAAACCUCAAGAGGGGAGAGUGCUCUUGUGCUCAGGUCCUGCAGACAGGAUCUGUUUGGCUGCUCUGAGAAUAGGAUGCUGGACUAGAUGGGCCAUGGGCCUGAUCCUCUCAUUCCAGUUAAACAGAUAUGCUUCUAGGGUAUAUGACUUACGUUGACAAUGCCUAUUCUCGGAAUUAUACGUUGUAUUGACCACACCCACAGCUUCAAAGAAACAAAUAUCCCCCAGUAGAGAGAUCGUUGCUUGUAGAAUUAUUUGAUGAGAGGGCAAACCACCUGCUGCCCCAUUGCAGCACCCCAGAUGGUGUGAUCUGGUAUUAGGGGGCUGAGGCUUGAUGCUUUUAGAACAGAGUUUGAAACUUUGUCCUUAUUUGCUGUGUUCAUAGUGUCUUUCGUUCCUUUAGUGGUGCAGUGUUCUAGGCGUCGUGUUUUGCAUAUGCUUAUGGAUGUGAGGUGGGAUGCACACUCCGGGGGGGCAUUCUUUCUCCUUUGGCGCAUUUCUGCAUGCGUAACUUCCAUUAAUGCUAAUGAGUGCUACUGAGCUAUCGAGAAGGAAAUAUAUCCCUUUGGGUUUUUGUUUUUACCUUUAUUGGCGAGAGACUAUUCGAGCAUAAAUACUUCUUUCAGGAGAAGUCUGGCAAAGAUGGCAGAAGGUUAAUACAUGCGAUUUUACACUACAUAAAACUCUAUAAAAACUAGAAACAUAAAACAAGGACAUAAUUUAAAACAAUAUAAUUUUAACUACGCGAACACUUAUCCAUCAUACAUGAAUGAUUCAAAAUCCUUCACAUACCUCUGAUCAGUUAAUUUCAGUUCUCUUGAAGUCUGCUCAGUGGCCAAGGAACUGUGUAAAUGACUUAUCAAUCUGGAAUACAAAUGCUUGGUCUUCUGCAAAGAAGGGGAGGAAACUUGGUGCUGUGUUGGAAUGUGGGAAGGCCUGUUCGGGACAUUCUUAAAACAAAUAGGGAUGGACACAUAUGUGAUGCGCCUCCCACUUCCUGGCACUUUUAUGAAGCUCUUAAAUUUGUGUUAGAAAUCUGGGGGAGUGCAGGCAGUUUCCAAGGUGCUUUUCUUUCAUGAACACACACUUCCUGACCUCGUUUCUUUACACUGGGCAUCCCAGAAGUAGCCAGAAGCAUUUAUUUUAAUGGCCAAAAAAGCCCCUAACAGUUCAUAGCGUUUGAACAAUUCACAGAGUUGGUGUUGACAUUAGGGGGCAUCUGGUUCUAAUGCAAUUGGGGUGCCAUACCUUUGGCAGUGUAUUGUUGUGUGCUGAAGUUAUGCUUGCAUAUUUUAAAAUGUGAGCUUCUAUCCUCUAGCUGCAGGGUUAGUUGAAAACAUUGUGGUGAUUUUGCAUUGUUUGCUGUCUGGUAACACUGUUGGGGGUGAAAAUAACUAGGGAAAUCAUUCACCAGUUAGAGGGAAAGGGUUAUCCCACUAUAUCGUUGUCAGGUAGAAGGGGAUUUUGUGGACUGGUCUUGCCAAAGAAAGCACAUUUGUGUCAGUAACUCUUUUUCUAUAGCCUUGGGUUAAUUUUAAUAGGCUUUCUUAGAGGAGUGAUAUAUAAUAUUUCUGAGAAAUAUUGGGUUGUGUCCAGCUGAGUUUUUCUCUGACUAGACCCAUUGAAAUCAAUGAACCUAAAUUAGUAAUGUCUCUCAAUUUAGAUGACUCUGAGCAUGACUGACAGUGGCAACAACGCCAUGAAGGUAAGUAAAGAGGAACUUCAGAAGCCAAGUUCUGAUGUGAAGAAUAUUUUUUCCACUGACGUCAGAGAAGGUUGCAGCCGGUCAGCAUAGCCAGGGGAGUGUAGAUGAAGCAGAUCCAGUUUUAAUCAAGAUUGCAAACAAUCGUAAGGGAAGUUCAUGGCUCAUGAUGGUUGUGGUAUGCUGUCCCCACUUCUAAGUAAUUUCUGUCAUCUUAGCCUUAGUGGGACAUUGUGUUGAAACAGUCUUGGCUCUUGACUUCAGAAGAUAAUGGAACAAAUGAACAGCUUUGCGCAUAUAAGAUUUGUAAACAUAGUCUGUUCCUUUUAGGGGCUCAAGGUGCCUGUGAAUGCUCUUCACGGGUGGGUAAGAGAGUUAUGUGCCUUAGGUUUUGGUGGUGUUUGCAUGUGUGCAUGUAUGCAAAACUGAGGUGUGUGACUCGCUGAUGGUCACAAGAGAGACUUAAGUUGGUGUGUAUGGGUGCGUGCUGUAUCUAUUUUAUGACAAUCACUUUAGCUAUGCUGUAUAUUUAUUUAUUUAUAGCUCCUUACUUUUUCAAACAAGACACUCAGAGUGAUGUACAGUAAGUUAUAAAAGCACAUUUCAAUAAUACAAAAUGUAAAAGAAAAAAACAUCAGCAGUGAGCAGAAAAAAACAGGAAGAUUAUGAUGAACAAUACUCAGUUCAUAAGCAAAGAAAUAAUUCUGGCAUUCUUUAUUACUCUACCCACCAUCUUGAAGUGUGGAACGAGCUCUGUUUUCAGAAGGGUCCGUGAACAGAUACAGAGUCUUGAGUUGGUUAUUUCAGGAUCCCAUGUAAUGCUAUGCAGGUGGCUGUGUGUGUUUGCUUGUGAUGGCAAUGUGCUUAAAAUGGACCUUGUUAUGACCUUAGUCAAUCAUGCCUUUGAUCAUCUCUUUAAUGGCCUAAGGCAGAGAUGAGAGGCAUACAAGCUACAUGCAGUUCCUUUGCAAUCGGGCAGGGCUGCUCUCAUACCUAGAGUUCUUUUUUCUGCAGUCCGUAGCAUUUAUGGAACUCUUGAGAAUCCUAGCAUUUACAAAAAUAUAAAAAAUAUGUCUCCACGCAGAAAUUAAGUUUGAAUAUGUGUUUGUGAACAUUUCUGGUGGGUUCUCCAGUUUGGGAAAAGUUGCCUUCUAAUAGCGUAGAGUUGGCGUGCAGUGCUGUGCUUGGCCUGGCUGGACAUUAAUGAUCUGAAAUUGCAUACCAACUUCAAUCUCUUAGUUAGCCAGGCAGGUGCAUGAUUGAUAGUUUUGGUGGCAGUUUAGCAUCCGGUUACAGUUACUGCCAGUACUUAAUAGCCUUGUGUCUCUGCAAAGGGCGAAACACACAUUUGCAGUCUUGCCACAUGGCUCAGAAUCUGGCUCUUCUGGCACACAGAACACAAGUAAUCUGAGAAUAUCCUUGUAUCAGUAUUGCUGGUUGAGAUAUUAUUUAAUGCACUGUUCUGGUUCAGGUUCCAGAAUGCCCUGUUUUGCAAUCUGUGUUAAACAAUGGCUUAAUUCACACCAGGCCUUUGCUCCUGACUGUGUCAGGUGGAUGAAGGUACAAGCUGGAUGUGUGAACAUGGGCACAUGGUUUGUUUCUCUCCAAACAAACCAUGAAUGGAGCCAAGUUUCUGGCUUAGCGCUUACGGUUUGCUUGGAGGACGCAAGCCAUGAGACUGGGUUCACUAGACUCUUGAUUUGUUUCCUUUCCCACACACCACAGUCAGGGGCAAAUUGCUAGUGUGUAGUUCUGAACCAAUCCACUCUCCUUUCUCUGGAAAGAGACGGUUAGUUGAAGAAUGGAGAAAAAGAGCUGAUAAUUCCUGAGUACCCAGCCUUUGAAGAUGGUGCCCAUAGUGAGCAUCUUGGCUCCCCACUAGUAAAGGUUUCCAAACAGUCAUUAUGGCUAAUGGAUAAAAGCUCAGCUUAUUAAAAACUCCCUGAAUAUUUAUAUGCUCAACCAUAAUGGUGGCAUCAGUUAAAUAAUAUAUGUAUUUAGCAACUUGUUAAAUGUAGAAGGCGUAGUCAAGGGCUGUUGGGUAAAUAACACAUGCCUUGAAAUUUUUAUGAACUCCUAAACUAACAUCAAGGAAGACCGGCAUUAAAAUAAUGCUAAGUGUUUAAAUUUAUCAAAGCCCAGAAAUGCUAUUGAAGACACUUUCGGUCUUAAUUCACUUGAUUUAGCUUGUCCCUUGAAAUACUGGACGCUUAUGAGAACAAAGGCAGAUUGGGUUGCUCAUGGUUGUGGAAGCUAGGAUUAACAGGGUGUCCUUAAAGAAUGACAUUUUGCCCCUAAUGCCAGCUCUGUGGGAUUAAACCUCAAAGCGGUGUCAUCACAGAAGCUCAUGGCAAUCCCAAAUGGGCUGUCUUGUCAUGCAACACGGCACCCGGCCAAACUUUCAUGUCCAGGCAGUGACUCUGGCCCCUAUUAAAUCCAUAGCCCUGUCUGUGACAGUUGCCAAGACCCACAGUUUUUGCAGAGGCGUCACUCCUCUUGCAUUGCCGCUGCUUACGGAGGUUUGAAAUCUUUCCUGGACUGCAGGCACUUCUGGCGCGGAGUCUUCCUUUGCUUGUGGCACCCAGUGUUAACUCAGUUAGAGAGGCAUCUUUUGUGAGUUCUUGUAGUGGGGCAAAUUGGACCAGGUGGCUCUCCGUGUGAGCCGAAGGACUUUCUGGGUUAGGAUUCCUUUAUUGUCUGCUUUGGCUUUUAGGGGCUUGGCUAAACAGCUGAUAGUGGGUGGUGCAUAAUGGCUAAGAGCUGAGAAGUACCAGGCUAAAAUGCUAGCUCAGCGUGGACUUGCCAGGUAGUCCAAGACAAGACACACACUACUAAUGUUGACUUGCCUUUCAAGGGGAGAGAAAAAAGAAAUAAUAGCCUAGCUGUGAUUUCUCUGAACUAGUUGUUCCUUGCUCUAGGAUUGUCUGCACUGGCUCCCUGAUGCAGAAAUAUUUCUGGGGAGUCUCAGUAAUACAGUGUUUCCUCAUUAGUUUAAGAAAUUGUUUAGUGCUCAUUUAGAAAUGGAUGAGUUCCAACUCUCAAAAGGUUUCAGGCUGCAUGUGGCAGAUUCCCCUGUCCACACGACGAGCAAGCUGCUUUGAACAUGAAACUUGCUGUGUGGAAACAGACACUGCAGUGAUAAUUUUACAGUAGGCCCUGGCGUUGUGGAUGUUCUGUGCACACGGGUUGCAUUUCUGAGUUAUGGUCUGCUUGCUGACACUUGGACCCAAGAGAAGGCCAAGAUUGAGGUCUCCUAAAUGGAGGCACAAGUGGUAAAUGAGAUCAUUAAUUGCUGGAGCCUGCACUGUAGCAAAUUGACUAGAAAUGUGGAUUCAGAGAAAUUGAUAUACUUUAUUGCUCCUACCGAAAUGAAUUCCCCUGUCUCUCCUGCCCCCUCGGCAGUAAUGAGCACGUUGGGCCAGCCCCGUGAUUGGCGUUGCUGCCUUACUGAACUGUUUUGCAAAGUUUUACACAUUUCUUGCAUGAUUAAAUGCACUUUCAAUAAAUCAAUCUCAUAAUAAUUGUUGUUCAGGAGAGUUCAUUAUUCAGUUUAGUCUUUUAAAUGACUGUUCUUCUUUAAAGGAUUUUCCUGACGUAAUAAUGGCUUCAGCUAAAUCCAUUUGCCAUACUCUGGCUUGUAAUUACUUUAGAUUUGAAGAAUAAAAUGAAUGGCUUUAUUAUUAAUCAGCAGCAAAUUUGUCUUACUGUUUUUAACCUUAGAAUGGCCUUCACUUGUAAAGUAGUUUCGGUGAUUCAGAUGGCAGAACACUUUUUUAUCCCUUCUCUUCCCUUUUGGAUAAAAGGAUUUAUUUGGUGAAAGCAAUUGGUAUCCUUUUUUUUGCAAGCCAUUUAUCACAAUGAUUGUAACCAUGCAGUGGUGAACAAAUUAGCUUCCACCACCCGCUUGGUGUCUCAAUGGCUUCUUGUCUGGCCUUUUGUGCUUCCUUCAGGUUGUACAUUUGUCGUGACCUGAGCUGUCUGCUGUGACUUCACUGGGCCAACUCUGGAUAAAAAAGUAGAGUAAGUUUAAGAACCCAAGCAAGGAACUCUGCAUCCCAUACUAUCCAUUUUAAUAGGAUUGAACCAAGUACAUGGUUUUGAAAUUCAGAUAUUUAUUGGAUUUCCACAUUUUUUUCUUUCGUAUUGUUAAAAAUAGCAUUCAUCUCGUAGUCAACAUCCACUAAAAGUGAUGGCUUCCUCCAAAUUCUGAACCCCAAAGACAGGAAAAAGAGGUUGUGUAAAUGGAAAGGAUAGAGUACCUCCAAUCUGAUGAAAGCUGGCUCAAAGAAAAAAUAAUAGAGGAAACAGAAGAAUAGAAAGUUCACAGGAGGAGAAGAGGGAAAGAAGGGAGGCCAACUCAAAGAUGGAGGUAUCAGAGCUUUCAGCUUUGAAACAUCAGCAAUGUUUUUCCAAUUUACAAGUCUGCAUAUCUAGAAUCUUGUAUUGACUCUCUCACAUCAAGCUGUAGCACAUCCUCCUCUUCUCAGUAAGGGGAAUGACACACAUUUUUGCAAUGUUGUUCUAGCUCUUUUGUCAGGCUGCUGGUUUUUGGAAGGUUGCGAUAUGUUCAGAAGGCUCAACUGAGUUGGAAUGACUUGUUUUGCUUUCUCCCUCUACUGAACCUGCCCUUAUAUUUCUGGCUUUUCUGCUCACUGGGUGUUGUCAUCUCCCAAUCUGCCACCUGUCCUUUUCUAAAUAAUGUCCCUUCCUUUCAUUGGCAAGUUCUUUAAUGUCCUUCCCAUCUCUUCCUCCGCAGCCCCCUACCAUCAGCCCUCCUUUGAAGCUAAAUGUAGGAAAUUUCUCAGGGUGACGAGUUUUGUUUUCCCAUUGCAAAGUUGACUGUAAUAGUUUCAGUCCUCAGCUGCACGUUAGAAAAUUAGCAUUAUGAUUUUUUUGUUGGAACUGUUUUGCUUAAGAUCCUUUACAUCUUAAGUGUCCUCCAUUUCAUAUUUGUUUCAAUUUUGCUAAUUCUUUGAAGACCAUGACAAUAUUAUAUGUUUCCAGUUGCCUUGAAACUUCAGCAAUCCCAUAAUACAGCUUUGCAGUAUUGUCAUAGGCACAACAAUUUUGCUGAUGCCUUGUAGUCUAAUUUUGGUUGCUGCUGAAAUUGCCUGGUUUGCAUGUCUAGUUGUUUAGUCGUGUCCGACUCUUCGUGACCCUAUGGACCAGAGCACGCCAGGCACUCCUAACUUCCACUGCCUCCCGCAGUUUGGUCAGACUCAUGUUGGUGGCUUCAGGAACACUGUCCAACCAUCUCAUCUUCUGUUGUCCCUUUCUCCUUGUGCCCUCCAUCUUUCCCAACAUCAUGGUAUUUUCCAGGGAGUCUUCUCUUCUCGUGAGGUGGCCAAAGUAUUGGAGCCUCAGCUUCAAGAUAUGUCCUUCCAGUGAGCACUCAGGGCUGAUUUCCUUCAGAAUGGAUAGGUUUGAUCUUCUUUGCAUGUCCUAAAGGUAAAGGUAAAGGGACCCCUGACCAUUAGGUCCAGUCGUGACUGACUCUGGGGUUGCGCGCUCAUCUCGCAUUAUUGGCCAAGGGAGCCGGCGUACAGCUUCCAGGUCAUGUGGCCAGCAUGACAAAGCCGCUUCUGGCAAACCAGAGCAGCACAUGGAAACACCGUUUACCUUCCCGCUGUAGCGGUUCCUAUUUAUCUACUUGCAUUUUGAUGUGCUUUUUAACUGCUAGGUUGCAUGUCCUAGUAAGCCAUAAUUCCAAAUGAGCUGUGGCUUACCAUGCCUGCUGCCCAAAUCAUGCUCUCCCCCCUCUUCCCUUUUCUGACACAAGAGGAAUUUUUUUUUUUUUUUUGGCUUAACAUUAUGUGUGAAUUAGCCCUUGCGGUUGGGUUCUGUCCAAAAAAGGUUUGUUCUUGGCAUCUUCUCGUGGUUUGUUUCAAGAGAAACUAACCAUGCGUGCUAGUUCACAUGCAGUUCUUAGCUAAUCCUCUGGUUUGGUUCUUUCAAAGGGAGGAGUGGGGUUGGUGCAAUUGAACAAACAUGCUCUUUGUUCAUAGUACACCAUAGUUUGUACCUGCAGUUUAUGAUUGUAUGUGAACCAGGCCUGGUGCACAAUUUCUGUUUAGAGCUAAACUCCUAGUUGGCAGCCCUGUCACCAUGUCACUGAAGGAAUAAGCAGUUCUGAUCUAGUAUUUGUUUUUUAAGUGCUACUUUUUUCCUAAUCUCAGAACAAGGGGGGCAGAAUUACACAGUUGGGCAGAUCCUCCCAGAUUAUAAAUAAAAUAUGAUGUAGAUAAGCUAAAUGUGAAACUUAUUUUUGUAUGUCUGUCCUCAAAAACCAAGAUGGAGAUCCAGAGGUGCUAAAGUUCUUUCCUUUAGGUUGGAUUGUCUCUUCAAGCUUAUGAGUAUCUUUAAAGAACUGUACUGGAGAUCCCAUGAUUGUCUCAUUUUGCUGGAAGCCUUUAAAAAAGUCUUGUUGUUGUUUAGUCGUGUCCGACUCUUCGUGAGCCCAUGGACCAGAGCACGCCAGGCACUCCUGUCUUGCACUGCCUCCUGCAGUUUGGUCAGACUCAUGUUGGUAGCUUCAAGAACACUGUCCAACCAUCUUGUCCUCUGUCAUCCCCUUCUCCUUGUGCCCUCCAUCUUUCCCAACAUCAGGGUCUUUUCCAGGGAGUCUUCUCUUCUAUGAGGUGGCCAGAGUAUUGGAGCCUCAGCUUCUAAAGUCUAAGAAAGUCUUAAAAAGUCUAGACUUUGCUAUCAGUUUAUUAUGUGUGUCCAUCUUUACCAAAUCUUCCUUUGGAAGGAUACUCACCCUAAAAUGAUGAUGGACAGCUUGAUUAUUUCCUCCCUACAUGCAGGUCCUGCCAGAGCUGUGCCUUUAUUGAAUGGUGCUAGACCUUUGACAACAUAGUUCCAACAACAACAGAAGCUACUCAGCUUUAAGGACUUACUCUGUUCAAACAGAAGGAGGAAUUAACCUCAGUAGCAGAUUAGUUACUCUGCACAGGGCAGCAUUGCAAAAAAUAAAAUAAAAAAUCUGGGGUAGAGGAAUGAGAUGAAUUAUCUAUCCAGGGAUUAAUUUAGCACGGGACAGAGAAUUUGGUCUUGAGACAACGAAGCCACCAAACUGAAAACCAUACCUAUGGGCAAGCCAAGGGUUGGGGAGAGGGUCCUAACCUGUAGCUCAGGAAUUUGUGAAUCUCCUUUCCCCAGAGCUUGGGUGAACAUCUCUUGCAUACAGUUUUUGCUUGAGUGAAUUCUGCUGUGGCAGAGUGUCACGCUGAAAUCUCUGAGCAUGGUAUUGGAUCGAAAAAGGCCCUCAUCAUCACUAUAGAAGUGCCAAGUUUGGACUUCUCUCAUAAGUUUCCAUUUGGGCUGCAAUAUUAAAAAUGACAAGAGGCUUGUUGCAACCCACCCUUCCAGUGAUGUUUGGAAGGACAGUUUGAAGAUGAGUGGUAGGCCAACUUUAUAUCACCGAUCACGGUUAUUUUUUGGUGAACUUUUGGGUUCCAACUCCAAGCAUAGGAAAGACCCCAAGAUUCAUGAUUGUUUUGAAGGGAAUGGAGCAAGCGGCCAGACCAAAACAAACAGUCUUUAUAUGGAUUCGGUCAGGUUCAACAUCCCAGCCUGUUGCGCUUGGUGGCUGGGUUAUGCUUUGCUUAGAGCAGGUCUCUAUUUUAUGUUGGAGAAGUGACUCCUAAGUUUUCGGAGCUUCCCUUUGAAAUGCAGGUGUGUUAUAUAUUUCAUGGAAAGCAUAGCUUUUUUGGGGACAGGAGAAAUACCCCUGGGUUAAAAUGCAGGAAGUGCAGUUGUAGCAAUAAAGAUUAUGUUGCUGAUGAGUUCCCCUCCAGGCCCCAUGGCAGUAAUACCUCUAUAUUUUGUCUUUAAGGAAAACUGCUGAGAGGCAAUAAUUUUUUUUGUAUGUGUCCCAUUUUCAUUAAUGCCGGGUAAUUGAUGGAGUUGCAGUGACUUGUAACAGUGAUGAGUUCUAAACAUAAGAAUGCACUCCUUCCUAAUAAGUGAGCACUGCUGGGCUUUAAAAGCGUACUAAAUCAGUUGCUUUAGUGUGAAUUUAUUAGUUUUUUUCAGCAUUAGCUUUAAUAGUAGUUAUUUACAUAAGCGUACAUCCCAUUAACCGCCAUCAGGGCUGGAAAACAUGCUGAACUGUUCAUAUUUUCAUAUAAUUAUUGAACAUAAUGGUUUCAUUUGCAUUUCUAAACAGUGAUGUUUCUGUCAAGCUUGGAAAUAGUGGCUUUACGCAGUCCCUAUUUCACAUCCACUUAUUUGACAUCGUUAAAUUUUAUGCUAAUGUGCUUCCCUAGAAUAUCAUCAGUAGGACAGAUGUUUGUGCUUUAAUAUACAAAUCAGAGAUGCUUUGCCUUCCUCGAUCCCUCCCCAAACUGCAAAGGAUUUUUUUAAAAACUGCUCUUCGCACUUUUUAGAUGUAGUUUGUGUCACUCCAAAUAGCUGUGAAAAGUAAAAAAAAAACUCCAGUCCUGACCUCAGCCGCUGCUAUGAAAUCUUCUGACACCUACUUUCCUUGCAGGAGCGCAAGAUGCAACCUUUCUUCCCCAUGGAGGAGAGUCUCUACAGAGAGAAUUAUUUUCUUUGCACGAUAAUUUUUGGAAGGGUAUAGAGCAAGCCGCUAUAUGCAGAGGUCAGCAGAUUUAUCAGUGAUGAAAUGAGGCAAGGUAGCUGUUUGGCAGCAUUGAAGCUCUGGAUAAGAUGAUGCCAGAGCCCUGACCCUGUGUGCGUGUGUGUGUGUGUGUGUGUGCGCAAGGAAGAAAGUCAAAGGACUUGCCCCUCGGAGUCAGAAGCCAAGGCAGGGGAACGCCAUGAUAAAUUCCCUGGUGCGUUCCGGUCCUUUUCCGCCCUAUGAGACCCAGGGCUCAUUUUUAAUAUGAACUGGUGGUGUAGUGAAAUUUGUCUUGUCCUGGUUGUAUUUAAUUGCUUUAGCUUCUUGAGGGGCAGCUAAUAUGCAUUGGGAUUUUGCUGCCUGAUGCGAGAGUGGGAAGUCAUUUUGCUGGUCCCUGGUCCUUCCCUGAGGUUUGUGGUACUGCUUUGAGAAAAGGAGAAGGCUUCAGGAGGAGGCAGUGGAGGCUGGAGUUCCUCCCUCUUCCCAUGCCCCCCCCCUUGCAUGAGAGUUCUGAAACCAAACACAGUCAUUCUGAGGUUCCCUGAUUGUGGGUUCUAGGUUGAUGAUCCAGCAACACAGUUUGCAAUUUCAGGAGGAAGUGGCAGGUUGUCUCUCAGGGGAUUGGCUGCUUUGGGGCAGCAGCAACCCUCCCCUUUUCCUCCCCCAGCACUGAACUCUCUUGUGUCCCUUUUUUUGUCUCCGGGGUGGUGGUGGCGGCGCCUUGCUGCCCCUCAGGGAAUGCCAAGGCAACCCAUUACAGCCAUACCUCUAGUUACGUAUGCUUCAGGUUGCGUACUUUCAGGUUAAGUAUGUGGCAAGACCCGGAAGUGUUUACUUCAGGGUUCCGCCGCGCGUGCAUGCGCAGAAGCGUCAUGCGCACUUCGUGCAUGCGCAGAAGCAUCCUGCACACUUCGUGCGUGCGCAGAAGCGCCUCUCUAGAUACGUACUUUUUGGGGUGCGAAUGGCACCCCGGAACGGAUCAGGUACAUAUCUAGAGGUACCACUGUAUUUGGACCACGGGUGACAACCUGGAGGCUGAGAGGGAGGGUGUGUCAGAAUGAAAAUGAAUUGAUACUGAUUUAUUUAUAUUAGUAACUUUGUAUUAAUGCAGCAUUUUCUAUAUGUAAUUGUGUAGUUUUGUAAUAUUUUACUUAAGAUGCCUGUUCUUGCUUCAGGGCUGUUUGUCAAAUAAUCAUUUGCAAGCCUUGGAUGGACCAUCCUCCAAAUUAAGGUGGGAGAAAGGAAGGUGGGAAGAGAUUGAAAGGGCAUGGAGAUAAGGAGAAAAGAGACAAGGAAGAAGAAAGAAGAAGAGAAUAAGAGGCCAAAGAAAUAAAGGAAGCAAUAGAAUGGAGGACUGAAGGGAGUUAUAGGAUGCCCCCAGAUAAGCUUGAUAUGUCAAGAGGUGGAAAGGCUACUGUUGUUUUUUUAUACAGCAUAUAUUUACUGUGUUUGCCCUCCCAACAAUCCUGUGUCAUUAUUUCCUAGUUCCUACACAUAGGGUCUGUAGCUGGAGGAGACAGACUUACCUUCGUGUCAGAGGCAGAAGCUAAAUCCAAGCCCAGUGCUAUUCUCUAUCCUCACAUGGUGCUAUGGCUUAAAUCUUCAGCUUCCCUUAGAAUAUCCAUGGCAUGUUUGGAAAAGAGACAAUGUUAUCGUGCCAAGUUACAACAAAGCAGGAAGGGGUGGCUCUAAAGCAGGCAUAGAUAACCUCCGGCCCUCCAGAUGUUUUGGACUACAAUUCCCAUCAUCCCUGACCACUGGUCCUGUUAGCUAGGGCAGUGUUUCUCAACCUUUUUUGGGCCACGGCACACUUGUUCUAUGAAAAAAAACCCCGCGGCACACCAACUCUGUGCCGCCCUAUAUUUAGUUUGGAGGGGAGACGCGUAAAGCAUGCCACUGCUGCGCGGUAGCCAGGCGGACCCACCAGGCGCAGAGCCUGCGGAGCGAGCGGGGACACGUCAUAAGCAGCCUGGGGGUGGCUCGCCUCAGGCCGCCCGGCCCAAAACCGGGCCUACAAGCCUGGUCCGCCGCCCGCCUGCCUACCCGCCCUCGCUCGCUCGCUCCUCCCGCCUAGCCACCCGCCGGCCUCCUUCUUCGCAAGCGGUACCUGCUGCUCAGGCGGGUGUCGCCGCCUCCGCCGCCGUGCUGCUCGGCCUCCCGUCAGAAAGGCGACAUCUCUCUCCCUCUGUCGCACCCGCCGCAACGGUUGGGGAAGGCCGGCGAACGUGCGCACCUCCUCGGGCGGGCUCUCUGCGCCGGGCCUGCUCAGUCGCCGGUCGCCGCGCGCUCUCUCGCUCGGCUGCAGCAGCAGCCUCUCCGUCGUCGUCGUCCUCUUCCUCCCCCCCACCCGCAAUCACUCACCGGCAGGCUGGAAGCGAGCGGGGGGGGGUGUGUGGGAGGAGGGAGGGGGAAGGAUGACCUCUCGUGAGAACAAAUCACAGCCGUCGCGGGGAUUUUCAAAUUCUUGAGCUCUUGCUGUUGUUUCUUUUAAAUUACGGCACGCACAGACCCCAGACGGGCAGACGAUAAUGGCGAUUUGCAUUGUCCUUUCCGGCGGGUCAGCGACGUGACAAUGCAAAUCGCCCUUCUCAUCGCGGCGCAGCAGCCAGUGUCUCGCGGCACAGUAGUGUGCCGCGGAACACCGGUUGAGAAACGCUGAGCUAGGGAUCAUGGGAGUUGUAGGCCAAAACGUCUGGUGGGCCGAAGGUUGCCUAUGCCUGCUCUAAAGUGUUCCUCAUCCCAGUGCCUCAUGUUUGUGAGAAUGCUGUGCACCCAAGUUCAUACUGCUGCCUUUGGGAAUUCAUAUUUUAAAAUACCAUAUCGGCAGACCUGCUGCGGCUUCCACUGCAAAUGGUUUUUCUUUUUUUGGUAGGACCUUCCUCAAAGUAAAGUUGGAGUUCUUCAAAUAACUACUUUUGGAAUUGCUUGGAGUUGCUGCAAUCUUCCAUGGCAAAGACAUUAAUUGCCUUGUACUUUAUUUCCAACUUAAAACAAUAUUUUUUAAAAAUAGUGAAAAAGAAGAUGAUGUGCUGUCAUUUGACAAUGCCACAUAAAACUUUGGGGAACAAAGGGAGUCAUUGGGGUGCAUAAAGAAAAGCAAAACCUACAGGUUAUCUGUUUGUUCCUCAGAUCCUGGAGAGUAGACUGUGGAUUCGUAGGCAUGCCUUCUGGUUUUUAUGUAUGUUGCAAUAAAAUGGUGAGGAAUGAUAAAUGUUAACAUCCUUUAAAUCAUUCCUUUAACCUUAAACUGAAUAUCACUGGUGCCAUGCGAUAGGCAUUGGAACAGAAAUGUUCAGGUGGGACUCGGCAGUGCCCGGCAGCACAAGUGUGACAGCUUAAAUACCAACGUGAUUUAAAUGUGAGCAGUCUGAAGGUUGCAUUUUGAGGACUAAGAAUAAAACAAUUUCGGCAUAUUCAAAUGUGAAUGUUGACGAGCUAGGAGAAUGUAAGGAGAGCUAGCUGUCCAGGGGCCUCCUCUUGCCUGGGCGUACGCAGGUGCAGGAAGAGAAGGCAGCUGGCAUGUUGGACGAGGCUUCUACACUAUGAAUUUAACCUUGCCAAAAGAUUUGGAUUCAGAAGCCUGAUUGUCCAGCCAAGGUGACUGCUGCUGCUUCUAUCUGAGGUAUCUAACUCAAGCCAAGGAGAUCAACUGACUUGCUAAGUCUGUCCUCGUUUUGUAUAGCCCAGCCAGCUAGCUUUCCUUGGCUGUGCCAAGAUAGUUUCAUUCCUGGUGGACGGGUGCUCCCUAGGAAAUAUCCUAUCACAUGCUUAAUGUUUUAAGGGGACAUGGAGAGGUGACUGAAAAUUAUGUUGCUGGAUGUGCUGUGGCCUUGGAUAUGGAACGGCCUGCAUUUUGUAACUGGAAGGGAAAUUCUGUUGGGGCUCUGGAAGUUACGGUGAAUGCUGUGCGUGGCCAAGUGAUAAGGGACUGCUGUCCAAUUUGUGUGUUCGGCGGCACCUGUGCAACUUGAUUGUGUUUGAUUUCAGUAAUGGAAAAGGAGGAAUAUGAUCUGGCACACUUCCUGACGAAGAACAGAACUCAUGUGUUGGAGUUGCUUUCCUUCGUGGGUGAAUAUUUUGCCCUUUGGUAUCUUAUCACAGGAACUGAAAAGGUGGGUAGGAAUUAGUGAACACCAAGGUGGUGGUGGUCAUUUCUGCAAUAUGUUCUUUUGAAGUCCUGUAGAGGAUUGAUUUCGACAUAUGUUUGCAUAGCCGAGGUGUGCUUCAUGUAUCUAACAAAGUAGACCAUUGGCAGGCAAGCUGGUAAGUCUGCGUUGGGCCCUAGAGUGAUAACUUGGUAAGUGAAGCAUAUUUAUACAAGUUUGCCUAGGUGGCAUGCUUCUUUCAUCUAAAAGAACUUGGAUUUUCUGGUUGAGGUAUUUGUGGUUAUUUAGCACUAAAUUCCAGGCUUCCUGUCAUAAAAGCUGCCUUUGUGAAGCCCUAUCAAGACACCAUUAAUCUUAGCUCAGUGGUGGCACAUGCUUUGCAUGCAGAAGGUCCCAGGUUCAGCUGUGUCUGGCUAGAAGGGUUUAGUUAGUAGGCAAUGGGAAUGACUUCUGCGUCAGACCCUUGAGUGGUGCUUCAGGCAAAGGGGUCAAUACCAGGAUAGACUUACUGAUGGUCUGACUUGGUGGUACCAAGUUAGCUUUGUGUUGUGAGUGCUGGAACUAUCUCUCAAUUAGCUCAACACACUCUUUGAAUCCUCAGCAGACCAGUUUCCAUGCUAUGUGGCAUGGUUGUCGCCUGCCUUAGUCAUGGCAAUGGCCAACUCUACGGUCAUAGGUCAAGCAACUUGAGAAUAUAGCACACCAAGUCUUGACACUGAAAGGAAACUUCUUUCUUUGUUGCAAUUUGAUUUGGAGAUACAAAAAUUCACUCCUUUCUCUAGGCCAGGCUAUGUGUACGCUGCCCUAAGAAUACAUAAGUAGAUCCUGAAGUGAAUGCAAUGACCUGUAAAUAUCAAGCCAAUUGGACAAAUCAACACAACUGCUGUUUUUUGUUGUUUUGCUGGUCAUGGGGAACUGUGAAGGCCACUGAAUACUACUACAAUUGAAAAUGGUCUUAGAAACCUAUAUGGCUUCUGAGAUUUCAGGGAGCUUUGCCCCCACACUUUCAAGCAUAUAUCCACAGAUUGUCAGGGCUAGCAACUUGCAUUCUUAAUAUAUAUUUAAAAAGCUGAAUUAAUGCCCUAAAUCACACCAUUUCUUGUACUUCCAUAGAAUUGUGAUGUACAUUCCACAGUGACUUAGGCCUAUGAAUUUUGAGUUCCUUUUUACUAGAAAAUGGUUUGAAUCUUUCUUCCUGAGAUUUUUUUUCCAGAAAAAGGUUUUAAUGUAAGUUUCCCAGCUCUAGAAUUUUGAGCAUUUAAACUCAAAUUCUUGCCUCCGUGAAGUAUGAAAGUUGACACUUGUUUGGUAUAUGAUUGUGGGAAGAGUCAGUUGUCCUGGUUGUAUUGCUUUUCUUAAGACAAGUUGUUUUGAGUGCUCAUAAAUUUAAUGGCCUUGUUCUUUCAGUAAUCUCUAAGAAUUCUGGAGUGCAUGUUAAAAUCACGUGAGGAGACUGAAUAGGUGUCUAUGCUGAACCAUCUGCCAAAUCCAGCAGCAGCAGCAGCAGCAGGAGCAACCAUUCCAACAAGUGCUUAGCUCCUGGUGCAAACCAUGUGGAGAGUUAUUUUUUAUUCAACCCCCCCCCCCCCCCGGUUCUUGAACUUUAAUAGAAAUGUACUCUACCGCUGUGGCGUCUGAUUUUCCGUAUGUUCAUCAUGUAAAGAUUCUGGGCGCUGUCAGUUCUGGUCUGCCUGGAAUAGCUUUUAAAUUAAGUGUCCUCAAACUUCUAUUUCCAUAAUGCAAGAGAACUCCUCUCUAUUAAAAGCUAGGUUUGAUAAAGGCUGCUGCUGAAUUGUGGGAAUGAAAAUUCAAACUUUACUGUAAAUAGCGAGAGAAGAGAGUUAGUUCUCUGAAUACUUCACUGUAACUCUGCGUUAAAGCACUGAUCAUUGCAUGAAGCGGAAGAGUGGGGCUCUGUGUCCUGUCUCCUCCGUUGUCCCUUGAGUUUCCUGUCCACAAGGCUCUCCACCAGUUGAGGGCAUGCCUAUAGCCUACAUUUGGCUCUCUCUGUGAGUGGGAACCCUGGGGGCUCAGUUUACCCAGUUGGCUUCUCAGGAUGUUUCACUGGGUAUAUAUACCAAGUACAUCUACUCUACAGUGACACAAGUGAGGUCACUGGAGAAGGACCAGGGCUCUUUUCACAUGCCUAUGAAGGAAAACACCGCUCUCUGCUCUUCUCCAUAAUUCACAUGGCUCAUGUGGAUUUUGUACUUGGUUCUCAGGUGCUGAGUGGCAAGAUAGUCUACACAUAUUAGUUGUGGGGAUGGACUUGGGAGGCUUGCCCUCUUCAUCAUUGUCCCCCGUACGACACUCCCAUGCCGGAGGUGUGGAUGUGUUUUUACCAAUCUGUACAUGAAAUACAGUGAGUGGAGGUAUUUAAAGGAAGGCAAAAAGGCCAGCUGAUGGGCCCGAAACAGAGAUGGAUUGGAAGCCUUUAGGUGAGAGAUUGGAAAGGUGUAAAGGAAACAGCCUGCCAAUGGCUGGGAUGUAUUUCCUAUUCAAAACAGUUGAGUGCCCCAUAAAAGUUAAAUACCGCUGAGAAAAUUGGUUGUUUAUCUAAACAGAAUGUAUGGUUUAGUAAGAAGAGGUAUUUAUGGUUUCCAAGAUGAAGCUGAGACCUUUUUUUUUUCUUGUGUGUGUAUAUUAUCCCCACCUCAGUGGCCCUGUUUUGGGCAGUCUGUUCCUUUGGACUCUUCAACUCUGCCAGGUUUUGGAAUGCUGUAUAUUGAUUACUGGAUUUCAUUUGUAUAGAUGUCAAAAACAUAGGUAUGUACAUCAGAAUAAAACAGAAGUGUACCAUGCCAUGUAUUGAAGCUGCCUAUUUUGGAGGGGGAUAACAUGCCUCUUGAUGCGGUUCUCUUUUGGGUCCAGUUACUGGGAUUGCCCCUGAAGUGGAUUGCUAGUUCAUUUGCAACUUGUCCAUGUGUCUCUGGGAUAACUUCAGGCAGUCAAUAAUUAUGCCUGAUAUUAGGUUGAAUUUAUCCAUUGUGCCACCAUGAGCAUUUACGCAGAGUAGAUUGAACCCCACACAUUUCUUUCCCGAGGGACUAGUGCUGGCAUAGUUGGGGUGUCUUUGCUAGCCAUUGAAUGCAGCAAUACAGAGGAGUUAGUGCUAUUGAACUGUGUGUUUGGCAAACUUUACAUCUAAUCACCACUCUUCUCCCUGAAUUUCCAAAGCACUUGCUGUCGUGCGUGAAUGGCUUUAUUUCAUUUGGUGUCAUCCCAAAGUUUUAAACAGAUGUUCGAAAUGCAGCUAAUUUGGCAGUAAUAGACUUGGAUUGCUAGUGCAGUAGCUUUCAAUGUAUUGUAUACCAAGUUUCCUACUGUGCUCCCUUAAAUCCUCCAGCACAAUAAAAAGUGAGCACUAAAACUGCUGCUCAAUUGGAAAUUCUUGUUCCUGUUCUCACACGUGAUGGAGCUUGAAGGUUUGGGGGCUGCUUUAAUUGUGUAUUGUAGGCAUUUAGGGUUCUUCCCUAUGGUCUGAAUUAACUUGUAGAAAGUGGAAUCAGCUUUGUAUUUUUCUUGUGGGGCUCGGAAAAAAGGGAGAAGGCUUCAGCUGAAAUAAUGGUCAUGGAAAUGGGAAGAUAUCACAAAGCUGGGCUUAUGGGAAGAUUAUUUAACUCUUUUGGUUGAGAGUAGUAGAUUUCCCAUCCCACCAAGUAAAGGAGAAUAUUGCCUCUCAGUUCAUUUUCUACAGUUGGGAUAUUAGUGUUGGGUAGAAGGCAAAAUUAGUGAUUGGUAGCCUUUCACCUGCCUAGGCCAUUCUGAGGAGUGGAGCCCAUCUGCUGCAUUCCACAGCAAGAUGGAAGAAACCGAAAGGAGACAAUGUAUGUCAGAGCAGUUCAAACCAUUCCCCUGUUUAUUCACGCUUUGCCUUGAUCAUGUGAGUUGGGAACAAUGGGGUUGGUCCCCAGCCACAGUUCUCCAUUUGGUCUCAGCUUUGAAUGCUAGAGCAUGAAUUGUGUAUGUACAAGUUUUCACCCCUUCCUGGACUGGUGUCUUGGGAAGCACACUGCAGCAGCCAGAUAGGGAUAUGGGAUUACUCUUGCAGUGAGGAGUUCAGUAAAUCUGCUUCUCCUGCAGGGAGUGCCUCACUGGAUUUUACCCCAGGGGAACCUGGUCUGCAAAAUGGAGUUGUGGCUAUUGCAGAAAUUGAGUCAAGCAAUUACGGGUUUACUUGUACAGUGAAAGGUUUAAAAGUAGGCACAACACCCACCCACCCACCACACAUACUCAUAACAGAGUUCCCUUUUCCUCCUUAGUAGCACAUGAUAUUAAAAGUGCACAAAUAGCUGGAGACCAAGGAGGCUAGCAGCAGCAGCAGCAGCAGCCACCUCUGUAUUCAGUUUAGCAAAGGACAGCAGCAGCAACAACAACUAUUAAACUCUGAGCAUUAAAUAAAAGCCAUUGGUGCUUCCUGGGUUAUUAGAAUGUAAGGUCUGACCUGCUGGUUCACACUGAAGGUUCUGUUUUGUUCCACUCUCUUGUCCUAACAGAGGCUAGCCAUAUGUCUUUGGGGGAAAAGAGACAAGCAUCUUCUCUUGCAUUGUCCCCAGCACCUGGUGUUUAGAGGCAUGUUGAUUCUGAACUUGCCAUUUAGCUAUCAUGUCAAUCUUCAGUCUUCCAAAACCCUGAGAUAAGUUUGGAAAACACAAAUCUGGGGAUUCUUGUUGGUUCUGGCCCUGCGCUGUUCCACCGUGGUUCUGUUCCUUUCUCGUGUGGUAUGUCAUGGUUUGGAUUGUGUUCAACAAUUUUUCUUACAUUUUUAAAAUUCUUUACAUUAGGGUCACAAAGUAGGUCAGCCUUAUCAGCCCAAUAGCACAGAUUGUCGGGGUUGUGGCUUUACCCAAGACACUUUGUGACCUCAUGAAACAGGCAGAUUUGAAAAUGGGAACUUUGCUGGUUUGCAGAGUAUAGAAUCAUAGAAUUGUAGAGUUGGAAGGGACCCCAAGGGUCAUCUGGUCCAACCCUCUGCAAUGCAGGAAUCUCAGCUAAAGCUUCCCUGACAGAUGGCCAUCCAACCUCUGCUUAGAAACCUCCAAGGAAGGAGAGGCCUAUGUAUGUUUACUCCAGAAGUAACUCAUAUUGUAUCCAGAAUGAACCCUUUCUGCUGAUACAAGUUCUACUCAGAAGUAAGUCCCUUUGAGUUUAGUGAGUCUUACUUCCAGGUAAAUGAGUGUGAAGUUUGAGCUUUAAGCCUCCACACUAUACUAGCUCUUUGUGUGACUGUUGGUUGGGUGCUUUUUUCCUUUUUGUGUGACUACAGAUCUCACAGAAAUGCUUCAGAGGUCAUGUGCUUCUCACACUUAGCGUUAAUUAAAUCAAUUUAGGUUUGCAAAUGACUGACAAUCUUCCAAAUCAAAGGUACUGUUAAUUCAAGAUUUAUCCAUAUGCAAUUUAGACUAUCCUAUCUUGGAUUUCUCUUUCAAGUUUCCAUCACUACAUUGCUUAAAUGUAUCCAUAUGGCAGCCUUAUCUUACUGAGCACAGUUCUUUAAUGAUCUCCUAAUUAGACAAAUAUCAUUAGAGAUGAAGAUACUGUAUGAACCAGGCUUUAUGGCCUGAUCGUAAAAAGAAUCCAAUAAACAGGCAUACUUAUCCAAAUUUAUGUUAAAAUGGCAUCAAAGGGCUUGCUUAAAAUCAUAUUAAGGGGUAACGAAGUUUGGAAUGGUUCCGGGUUUUGACAUCAAGUAAGGAACAGAGUUAAAGUCCAUAUGCUUUUCCUCAGCAGAGUGGGACAUGAAGGGUAAUGAGCAAACUUGUAUGUAUGGCUUGUCUGGUUUCUGUGGCUUUUAGCUUUUGCUAUAUUAAGCCCCUAUGAAUGGCGCAUGUUUAGCCAAAACAGGUGAUUUAUGCAAGGCCUAAGCAUCUCCGAUAGGUUCAUCAUGUUUGCAGCUGUUGAGGUGCAGUGGUUACGAUGGUGAGCCCUGAACCAGAGAACUCUCAUUUCAGACCUUGCCUUGACCAGGAGGUGAAUUCAGGUGACCAGGAAGUGAAUUAUCUGCUCCCUCCCCUGCCACUGCUGCUCUUCCAGAGCUUACUUUGUUGAAAUACAAACACUCUGUCUUGGGGGUGGGCUGCAUUUUUCUGCCUAAGUGCUGCAUGCUAGGAGGGGGGCAACGUGACCAGGGCUGGAUGCUAGAUGUGGGCUGAACCAGAUGCAAAAGUGCGUGACUCUUUCCUUUCUAUAGUAGGUUGCCUUACAGACAUGCAAAAGUCAGAGAGGUGUGAGCAUCUUGUAUGUACACCUGAGCUCACACACAUUCCAUCCAGACGAGCAGAAAGGCAUUGCCACUGCUGAGCACUUGAGGAAGGGUUGGAGGAAGGCUGGCAAGUGGUGUGGCCCAGGAUGAAUCCCUUAGACUAUAUAGAGAAGCUAGGAGGGCCAUAUUCUGCCCUAGGUCCUGGGACGUAGCUAGCCCUGCUAUAGCACAAUAUUAGUAUUUAAUUUAUUUUCUUGAUUUUAAAACCACACUUCAUCAGUUGCAGAUUUGAGGGCAGUUUACAAAACACUAAACAGAGCAAGUCAUUAAAGCAGUGGAAAUUAUUCUUGCGUUGCAGGAGGAUGGACUAGAUCCCUUGCAACUCUUGCAAGUCUGCUAUUCUCUGAAAAUUGCAACAUCUACAACACAACUGUCAUUAUUCCAUAACCAUGAAGAAAUGCAGGAGCAGUUCAGAAUACCGUAACACCCAUUCCACUAAUAGCAUGGGUGAAAGUAUCUUAACCUGGAAUCGGAUGCCCAGUCAUGUUGCUGUUAUCUGUGCUUCCAGGCAGGGGGAGUUCCACGGUUGGGGCUAUGCUCUAGGGAAAGGCUCCUGUAUUGCCACAAAAUGAGCCACACCUCAACAAGGAGCCCUCACCCGCCCCCCGCUCCAAUCUCAGGAUACAGAUAAGACGCCCAGCACUUGAGCGAAUCAGCCCUUAAGAUUCUGUAGCCCAAGUUGUAAGCAGCUUAUUAAUGUAGAUACUAACAUUGGCCCUGUCUGUGUCACAGUUUGAACACGCAUGUUUCAAAAUUUAGGCUCCUUAUACAGCAUCAUGCAUGUUUUUCCAAGUUUCAUCAGCCAUGGUUGAUUUGCUGCAGGGGGGAAACUCUGCAUCUUAAAAUCCACUGGUUAACUGCUAGAGAUGCAUGAUACCAGAGUUACUGAAAGUGUUCCGGUCAAAACUUUGCCUGGUUUUAGAAGCAGUUUGAGGUUCUCAACUCCAGUAUGGAAGCUGCCUCUGGAGUAAAUGUGCCAUUUUUCUCUCUCAGCAUGUUUCCCUGUUGACAGCAAGCCUGCUAAAACCCCAAGCGGCUUUUUAACAUUUUGGGGCCAUCUAGCACUGCCAAAUCUAGCUGUGUGAUGUCACUGUUACUAAGAAGCAGGGCUAUUUUUCAUACAGAAGCUGUAGUCAAGUGGGGCUGUGAACAGCAGCAAACCUGUAUAAAAAUGGCAAGCUUUUUUGGGGUGUGUGUGUGUUGAUAUGGGAAAUGUUUCUGCCACCUGCAAACCCUUUUCUUCUGCAAAAAAAGUUGGCUGGAGAACACCCGUCUCAGUCCCGAAAUAACUUGUUUAUUAUAUUCAUCUUUAAGAUAAAAUGCUGUAAAAGAUACAGUAUGUGCUCUGCAGCUCUUCAAAUGUUCAUUUUUGCAGUUUUGUUCUACAUUGAAGCAGUGAUACAGGAUUAAGUCUUACAUGUUUAAUUCUCCUUAGCUUUUUGAUGUCUGUCAAUAAAGCUGACAACCCUAACAUUAUUGCCUCAAAAGCGAUGGAAUAAGUGUUAAAUGUUUUGAAAGAAGCCUCCUUAGAAUAUCUCAUUGGAACACCUGAGAACAUAGAAUAAUUUAUAUUCUGCAAAUAUAUUUUAUGGCAAUAAUCCUGAGCUUAUCAGAAGGCACCUUCACACAUCUUUAAUUUCUGUAACCAGUUGUAAUAAUUUCCCUGGGACCAGUCUGAAAAUAGACAUUUCAUUGGUUAAUAUCCCAGCUUUGCAGGUCAUAUUGAUUUAGGUUUUGCUAUCACUUUUUUGUGAUCUGGACAAGCACACAUAAACAUGAAAUUAUAGAUAUUAAAUUUUAUUUCCAUUUUUAUAUUAUGUAACUUUGCUUGGGUUAUUAGUCUCUCCUAUCAAAGAAACUUGAUAUGUCACAUAACUUUUCAGACUUUGUCCAAAGCAAUACAAAUAUUUUCGAAAAGCAGUUUUUUAAAAAGCAAAUUGUAACUUGCUUUGAACUGUUUUGAACUGCUGUUAACUCCCUUUUCUCAGAGUGUUAACUAUUUGUCCUUUUAGUUUAAGUUGCAGUUUUAAUUACAGCUCGGACAGAGCUAAGCAAAUGCCCCCUAUAUGUGAUUUUGAAGGUGCCAGGGAACUCCAGGGACAACCUAGUGGAACAAAGGAGCUGCAGUAUUCCUCAGCAACCCUGCCCAAACUCUGGGGAGCUCCCCAGCCCAAAUGGCUGCAAACUCGUGCAAAAUAUCCUUUCAUGUACACCCUGUUUACCCUCUUUCCAGCCUCUACUUUUUUCUAUCUAUCUAUCUAUCUAUCUAUCUAUCUAUCUAUCUAUCUAUCUAUCUAUCUGGGACGUGGAUGGCGCUGUGGUCUAAAUCACUGAGCCUCUUGGGCUUGCCAAUCAGAAGGUUGGCGGUUUGAAUCCCCACGACAGAGUGAGCUCCCAUUGUUCAGUCACAGCUCCUGCCCACCUAGCUGUUCGAAAGCAUGUCAAGUGCAAGUAGAUAAAUAGGUACUGCUAUAGCGGGAAGGUAAACGGCGUUUCCAUGCGCUGCUCUGGUUCGCCAGAAGCAGCUUAGUCACGCUGGCCACAUGACCUGGAAGCUGUCUUUGGACAAACGGCGGCUCCUUCGGCCUAUAGAGCGAGAUGAGCGCCGCAACCCCACAGUCGUCUGCGACUGGACCUAAUGGUCAGGGGUAACUUUACUUUACACACACAUAUAUAGGAGGCCUUUGUCUUAGGGUAAAGCCAGAAACUAUAAUCUCCAAACGUAAGAUGUGAAUUAGAUGCUGGUACUAUUUGGCCUUUUUUUCCAGGUAGGGAUCCUAUAAUAUAAAUGAUGCAAUUGGAAUUAGCAGUUUGGUUGGAAUUAGCAGAAACCUGCCUGCUGGAUUCUGUGCUGAUUCUUAGGAGGACUUUUGAUUUAUUGCCCCAUCUCUUAAAAACUUCUUGGUGUCCAUCCCAAAUAACUUAAAGCAGCAGUUUUAUUCCUUAGAUGAGGGGAGCUAUUUGCCUCCAUUUCCCUUAAGGCAACCAUUCAUGUAACUUAUGACUUACGGUUCCUCCUCCUUUUUCUUCAUGCUGAACAAGUUCUAUGCAGGCCACUAAUAGCUUUGGUUGCUUUCUCAUUUGCUGUCUCAUCUGAGUGCCAAAAACACUUCCCUGGAAGAACGAGCCUCUCAUUGUGGAAGAAGGAUGUAGCAGAUAGUCUCACAGAUGCUGUGAUGCACGUUUCACCUCGGUGGAUACUGUCCCUUGGAGACGUUCCACGCUGCAUUGUGCCAGGACCCAUUCAGGAUAGUAUAUCAUCAAGUUCAGUGUUCUGACAUUUGGAGGUAUCUCCACUGUUGGUGAUAGCAGAGAACACAGUUAAGUAGCUAGGAGGACAUUGUCAACUGAAACAUAACUCACUUUAUGUAGAUUUUUGUCUAUAACCUACUUUCGGCAUUGUCUCAACACUAUUCCUGUGAUCUUAUGGUAAGUUAUAUGGAAGUAAGCAAGGCCUUUUUUGUUUUGUUUUAAACAGCUGAGCAACAUUCUAGCUGACAUAGUUGUGGAGGAAAAAAAAGAAAUCUCUGGAUGUUUCUACUACAGGAAUUACCAGAGGUGAUGGCUCAGGGCACUAAAUCUCAUGGCACAUGAGAUUUGUUCCCAGCUCAUGGUCUCUGGCUUGGUUUCCCACUACCACUAGUAAUCAACGCCUCUAGCCUUUAAAAAUAAAUUAGAACUUUUCAACAAGAAUACAAAAUGUUAACCCGAUACUGAAUCCCCUGUUUUUCAUAAUGUUAAUUUUAUUUUCGCUCCUUUGGCUUGAAUGAUAUUUCAGUUAAUUUAAUCUUAUUCCAGAUCCCAGUCUGCCUGGGUUGGCUUUCCAUAAUCUCAGCACACUUGUUAACUUACUUCCUAUAUCUGUGAUGCAGCAACCUCUGGAUGCAGAGCAUGACAUUGGCUUGCUUGUUUAGACAUCACACCAAACCAGGGUUAGCAGAAACCUGCACCCAACUCGUGUUCCCCUCUCCACCCUCUUGCUUACCAGGCAAUUGCUUCCCAGUUUAAUUCAGCUAUCACAGCAAACCAUAUUUCAUUUUUUAAAGGUGUAUGUUGUAAAACCUAGGCUUAGACUCUGCUUCUCAGCCCUGCUGUUGAAGGACUGACUUCUCUCAAAUUCUAGAUAUUAUAUACAUGUGAAUUCCUUAUGCCAGUUCCCUUUGUGCACUUGAACAAAAGAGAGUCGAGAGGAGGAAUGCACAUCCUUCAGGAUUUGGGAGCUGCAUUCUGUGUUCUUGACUGUGUGGUUGGAGCAAUGCGUUUUGGCCUGAGAGGUGGGAAGGAAAGCUCAUUCCCAUUCCACUUUAGACAAGAUGCUGUCGGCAGCAGCUUGUUUCCUUUUAAAUCUUUUUCUACUUUCUAUCUUACAAAGACAUUUUUCCCACUGACAUUGCUAUUGGAAACCACAUUAGGCUCUCAUAUUUUUGCUGUUCUCCUGUACUUUAGCCCUACACCUCAAUAAAUAUAAAGACAAUUCCCUUCUCCUUCUCACAGGCCCAGCAGGUAUUCUGAGUUCGUUCUUCUCUUUUUCUUAAUCGUGUUUAGGUCCAUAAAUUCUCCAGAUGCCUCUGUUGUAUUAACCCGUCUAACAUGAUUUUAUGAAUAUUGGUACAGAUGUUCUCCCUAGCUUUUGUCUUUUGAUUUCCUGGAUUCCCCCCGCCCUCCCAGCACCAGCUUUAAUCUCUCUCUGGAGCAGUAAGAUAUUUUCUGUAAGUAGGUUUAUGUACUGGACGCUGAUUCUUCGCAUAACCGAAGGGAAUCCAGAAAAUCUAAUCUUGUCGUUUGAAGCAGGAUCUUAUUCCACUUCAGUUUAAACAUCUGUUUGAGUCUAUAGGCUGUGAUGUUUUAAAGAAAUCUUUCAUUCAGACAAGGCAUAACAUCCUGGCUGGUUAUUGCCUAGUGGAGAUGCGUUAAACUGAAUUUAGACAGAUUUCUUUCUAAAUGGAUGGUGAGCUGUCAGUGAGAAAACUUUUAUUUGGCAUAGAAGAGUGGGGGGGGGGAGCUCUUUCUGUUGGACCCAGGCAACAGUUUGUUGUAGGUUAGUGCCUGAAAAAAUAUAUUGCAGUGUCUACUUGAAGCAGCCGUGCUAACGUACAAGAAAUGAGAGCACGUUAAAGGUUUGUCAGCUAAGACAAAAAAAUGGAAUGGCAAUAACUAGAAUUCCUCUUUAAUGAAUAUCCAAAAGAUGAAGGGUGAGACUGAUUAGGGUCCAGAAAUUUGGCCCUUAGAGGUAUUUUACUUUUGAAUCUCGUGGUCAGUUGCUGCAUAUUUGCACUGCGCCUCUUAUAGGAACAUAGGAAGCUGCCUUAUAUCAAGUCAAACCAUUGGGCCCUGUAGCUCAAUAUUGUCUGCGUUGGCUGGCAGCAGCUCUCCAGGGUUUCAUAAAGGAGGGGCCUUUCCCUGCCGUACCUGCCGAUGCUAGGGAUUGAACCAGGGACCUUCUGCAUGCAAAAAGCCGUUGCCCUAACACUGAGCUCUGGGUCUUUCCCCUUCUUGUGUGCUAGGUCCUUGUCUGUAUUAAAGUAGCUUCAUCUACAUUUUCAAGAAUUCUUUAUUGUAGUCCUGUAAGGAAGGUCAGUAUUAUCAACCCUAUAGUGCAGAUAGGCAAGGUGGCUGCUUGCCCAGUGAACUAAUGGUAGAGCCAGGUGUGGUUUUUUAAACUAUGAAUGUCCCGGUUGAGAGCUUGCUGACCUACACACCCAGUCCUGUGCAUGCUUACCCAAAAGUCCAGGUAUUUUUCUCUCAUUAGUAGUGUUUAUGGUUUCCCUCUGCCCAGCCCACUGAUUCCUAUAUGACGUGGGCACAGAAUUCCGGUCAGGGAAAUGAGUGUUUGGCUGCCUUGAUUCCAGGCUUUUGCGGAAGGCCUAUAAAGUGCUUUGCUGCUUUUGCUUUCUGUAAAGAGCGAGGACCCCCCCCCAAUGUUUCUGGGGGUUUUUUUGGGAGGGGGGAACCAAUGCAGAGACAAAGAAAACAGUUCUGUCUCCCCUCACAUUGUCUGUAUUUUACGAGCACUGGAGGAGUCGGGUGGGAUCUUUGUGCUGGGCAAGAGCAGCAGAAGCCCGGGGAAUUAUGCACCCUGUGCACUCAAAAUAAGAUCAUUCAUAGCAAUGGGCUUAAGCUCUAGGAAGGCUGACUUUGGUUGAACAGUGGAGAGCUUGUGCUGUGUGCCACACGUUUCCCUUCGGCUGCAUCUUGGCAGUUGAAUUUCCUUUGUGCGUUCAGCAGCCUCUGUGCAGUUGUCUGGUUGUGAUAACUUGUCUGUUUUUCUGGCAACGCCGGCGUGCCUUUCAGCCAGAGAUGUUCUGGCCUGUUAGACUGGGGAACCAGCAUGUGGUUUUGCUUGUUGUGCGCCACUUUUGCCAAAUCAAAGCACAUUUAUAGAAUAAAACGCAAAUUACGAAGUGCAGACUAGGAUAACAGAAGCUGAACAGAUUUCACAGCAUCACUCUUUUCAGAGACAAACUUUUAAAGUAGUUCUAAUCUUAAGAAAUCCCUUCUCUCCGCCCCCACCCCCAGAAGCCUCAUUUGGGAAUGAUUCCUCUUUUAAAAGCAAUGUGUGUACCCUACAGUAAUGCACAAAUGCUUUCUUUAGUGGAUUGUUUAUUUAUUUAUUGCAUUUAUGUACCUUUAGUGGCUUAUCAGAGGACAUUAUCUUCUCAUGGUUGACAUGAUUUGUGGCCAGCAGUGAUGUGCUUUUUUUUUAUCACUGCACAUUUCUUAACAAAUAGCAUAGAAUAAUAUAAUCUAGAAGCCCAUUUGUCAUUCUAAUGGAAUUAAGGCUGCAAUCCAGCAUAACUAUAUCUGCUUAAACCCCAGUGAACUCGGCGGGACUAUGGGCUUGUAUUGAAGAUCAAGCACUAAAACCUUGGCUUGGCUGCUGCCACACUGCCUCUUUCUGUAAGGGCUUCGCUAGCAGUGCCACAUUACAGAUUUUUCAGUCUGGUGCAAAUUAAUAUGAAGGCACAGACUUUUCUUCUGUUGGUCUUGAUCUCAGGUCAUUUUUGUGAAAGGUUGAUUUACAAUUGCUAAAACUUUAACCCUGGAGUGACCCAAAUCUCACCACCCCUGGCCAUUGGCUAUGUUAGCUACGGUAGGGCUAAUGGAAUCCAACCACAUACAGAGGUUCACAAGUUCCCCACUCCUGCUUUAACCUGACGGAAAACAGAUGGCCGAGAUCGGGAGGGGGACGGGGACUUGCAAAUCCUAUGACAAAAUCUGAAUUUUUCAAAAGACAAUAGCCAACACUUACUGCAGCCGGAGUUCUGCUAUUGAAAGGUUUGGACACGAGAUGGCAGCAUCAUACAGUGUGUGCUCUGCCCAUCCCAAUAGAUACGAGAGAUAUUUCUUUCUCUAGAUGUGUUUUCGGUCGCCAGGAAAAAUUGGAAAGAUGAAUCCAGGUCCUGGGAGGAGCAGGGGCUUCACCCUACUUCAUGAAAUGGAUAUUGUGUUUGAAUAUACAGGCGCACACACCUGUUUCACGCUGGGAAACAUUUUUCUUCUAAGCGGAACCUUUUUAUUCUGGGCCAGAGAGGGCUGAGCUCUCCUGUUUUGCGUUUUUGUUUGUGAGGGUUCAUCUGCAGCCCGGACUGCAAAUCUCUCAUCUCUUUUCCCUCCUGUACCCACAGUACAAAAUGUCAUUUGGAGGGGGAGAAAAAUUAGUCCUAAUGUAGCGACAAAACCGUUGCCUGGAGAGUGUGCCUGCUGAGAGGCAGAGACAAUUUGAAAACAGUAAUAAGUUUCUCUUGAUAUGAUUAUCUUUCCUGUGCUUUAAAGGGAGAGAAUGGAGAGAACACUGUUUGUUCCUAAUGGGAAUGCCCUUGAAAGAACAAGUAGGGGAAAUCAGGGGAUGAGGAGAGGAAAAAGAAUGAUAAAAUAUAUAGUGUGCGGUUAAGUUUUCAGAUGUGCAGAGCAGAAUCAGCUCCAGCUUGGGCUGAAAGAAUUAGGGCUUUAUAGCCAGCUUGGGGUGUUGCUAGGUCCAUACCAUGUUUCGGUGGGUGCAGAAGCUACCCUGGGGUAGGUGGUGUUAAGCAUCACUCAAUAAAAUGUUGAGCUGAGUCUGUCUUUUCCCUUAGCUGGUUGCCAAAAGACUGUACUGUUCGACCUGCUGCUCAAUGUAUCCGUCACUACGCUGUGAAUAGUCACCACCUUCCUUUGCAAUGUUGUGCAUAUAUAUGGAUAUGUGUGUGUGCGUGCGCGCACAAUACAAUAAAAAAGGUGGCAGCUGGAACAAGGACACCAAUAGCAAUUGUAAACUACAGAGGGAGGAGUGCAGGGCACAAUUGUGAUGGAAGAACUUAAAAAGAGAAGAAGCCCGCUUGCUUUUGGACUCUUUUGUUGCUGUGUGUCCAACAAUGAACAAUACUAGAUAGAAAGGCAACAGGUGUUGUCUACCUGUUGCAUUGUACAGGGAGCAAAUUUGUUCCCUUGAGGCUUAGGUUCCUGGUUUGGAGAAGCUGAGAGGGAAGUGUCACAACACAUGUCUAGAUACUACUGGAGUCAAUGGUCAUGUUGUAUCCUGACACCUGUGACAUGGCAAAAUGUUGUUGUGUGGCUCUGGAAGUGGAUUUUAGGUUGCUAGGUAGAAGGUUGAGAGCUGAAAUGCUACUUGUUUCGUGUGCAGGACUAGCUAGGCAGAUACAGUUGAGUAGUCUCACUGUAUGGGUGAGAUCAUGGUUUGGAUUUGUUAGGCACUGGGGAACAUUUUGGGGACAAGCUGGGCCUGUAGAAGAGGCACAGGCUCCAUUGGAGCCGGGAUGUAACUAGACUGUUCAGACUUAAAAUCAGAAAGGUGGCAGAGCAGCUUUUAAACUGACUGCUCAGGGAAAGCUGAGAGCACCAUGGAGCAUCAGGUUUGGAGCAGAUAACAACCCAGGGAUGUGAGAGAGAAUAUUUAUGGUGGUCCAACUGGGGGGGAGGAGGGGUAGAAGUUAGCACUGAGUAUACAGGGGCUUUCAGUAGCAAUUCAAAGGGGCCGUAGCACUGUAGUGCCGCAUGUCCAUGCCAAAGACAUUUGGAGAGAGAAAGAUUGUAUAGGUGUUUAUAUGCUAAUGCUAGAAACCUGCAAGCCAAGAUGGGCAAGCUGCAGUGCUUAGAGAGCACAGAUACCUAUGUGGGCAUAAUUGGAACCUGGUGGACUGAGCCAGUGGGACAUGUUUAUCUCGGGAUACAUACUCUGUAGGAAAAACAGGGAUGGUGUACGAGGGGUGGUGUUGCAUUGAAUGUCAAAAAGGGCACAGAGUCCAGCAAUCUAGAAACCCCCAAAGGGACAGUCUCCACCACAGAAUCGUGGGUAGUGAAUUACUUAGUUAUUUAAUAAUGCAGUACUGAGGACCUGACCAAAAUACCCAGGGAGAUUGUGAUAUGGAAAAUGAGAUAAAGGAGAGGCAUCUAAAACAUGCAGUAAUAAGUGACUUCAACUACCCUGAGAUAGACGUGAGUGCAUGUUCCAUUCAUGAGAAAGAGCUGAGAUCCCUGCCUUGCAGGGGGUUGGGCUAGAUGAUCCUCAGGGUCCCUUCCAACUCUACAGUUCUAUGUUUCUUUGAUUCCAGAUGUCCUUAAUGACAGUGCCAUAAAACCGUUGGUCAUAGAACCACAAGCAGAGGGCUAUCAGCCCUGGGGUAAAUCUUAAGUGGUGCCCAGGACCUAGCAUGAGAUGCAAGUGUUGUUGGAGCAAUUGGGAACAGUGUUUCAUAGUGGUACCAAAUCCAACAUAUAUGCACUUGCUAAGAAGAUCCAACAUGGUCACAUUUGACUUCAAAAGAAGAGGCUUUCCUAAACUGAGGGGAUUGGUAAAAAUGAAGUUGAAAGGCAAAGUCAUGAGGCACACCCAGGCCAAGAAGCCCCAUGAGAAGAAAGAAGGGGUUUCUAUAUAAAAUAUAUAUUAGAAUUUUAAAAUUGUAAACCAUUUUGGUGCCCUGGCAGAAGGAUGGUUUAUAAAUGCAGUAAAUAAAUAGGUUUAUGUUAAUGUGGUUAAUGAGCAGAAAAGAUGCUUCAAUUUGUUAGGCAGCUGUGGACAGGAUCUUAAGGCCUUGACAGUUGCAUGUGGUGGCAGCCUCCUAGGGAAACGGAAUCAAAGUGGGCUUUAAUCGUUAGAAGCAGCUCUUUGGAUUGGGCCUGCAAACAGAGCCAGUGCAGCUGGCAUAACAUGGCCAAACUGCCCAGUUCCAGUUAAUAAUUUUGGGUGCUCUGCUCUUCACCAACUGCAGUUUCCAGACCAUUUUAAUAGGCAGCCCCAUGUACAAAACAUUGCAAUAAGGUUUCUGUUGACUUUUUUAUCUACCCAGGACGCCAUCUAAAACCAGUCUACAGCAGUGAUGGCCAAACGUGGCCCUCUAGCUGUUUUGGGACUACAAUUUCCAUCAUCCCUGACCACUGGUCCUGUUAGCUAGGGAUGGUGAGAGUUGUAGUCCCAAAACAGCUGGAGGGCCAAGUUUGGCCAUCACUGGUCUACAGCUUUGUGAAUAUCAAAACUACAUGGUUUACUUCUGCUUACCACCAACUAUAGAAUCUUGGUGUUUCGCCUAUGUUGAAGAGUGGGUCUAGGCAACAGCUGGAUAUUAUAUUUCAAGAAUGGGGAACCAACCAUUGUUCACCCCAGAAUUCCUUGGUGUGGCCUGAAACCUGCAUAGUGGAGCCUCAUUGGAAUGUGUGCUAGCUUCCAUCUGCGUUCCAUCUUAGGGCUGUGACUCAGUGCAGACUUCUACACCAGCCAACUCCCCUCCCUUUGAGACGAAGAGUUGUGGAGGUCUCAAAAGCUUCCAGUUAUUUAUGACAUUUUGGUUCUCCAUAAGCAGUAUUCGAGUUUUUCUUACUCGCCAACAUGGCUUAGAAUCCUGGAUUUUUGCAGUACCAAAUGGAUUCAUAAUUUCAAACUGGGGAUCCUUAAAAUAGCUUAGCCAUGAUGGUUCAAGGGAUAAACAGCAAUACAGCUUUCCUGUUUCUUUGUGUGAGGCAGGUGAAGGCAUCGCAACCCCCUGUGCUGACUGUCCCUCUGCUAAUUAGCUGAUGCUUUGACAUUUGAGGCUUUAUCAACUGUGUUAGCAUCAUAAAUUUCUGUCCCUUUUGAUUUAAAAUAUGAAUCGAGCUUUUGACUUUGUUCCCACUGGAGAAGGGGCUGCCUGCCUCCUGGAAUGAGACUAAAGCAGAGUUGAAGGAGACUGAAGGUACAGAUGCAAGCAUCCCUUCCCCCACCAGCCAAUAAAAGAGAGAAUAAUUUCAGAUAAGCUCAGCAAUUUUGAGGCAUUUCUUUGUUUGUACUGUAUAUUCCCAGUGCUUCAGCCAUCACUACUGUCAGGGAUGUGCUGUAAUGGUAGGUAAUAAAUGCCCUGAAAUUACUGAGAUUAUCUCUGGGCUCCUUUUAUAACUUAUAUCUUUUUUUUUUUUUGGUAUGGGUUUUUUACAUGAAACCUCUCUUGACUAGCGAGUCCCUGGCAAAUCCCUGGGUAUCUCGCAUGGUCUAUUGCAUUAGAGCAAGUCUGAUGUAUUAUUCAAGCAAAUCACUAAUAAAAGAUUUAAACCUUUCCCUAUUUUUUUUUCCAGGCAUAGUGGCUUCUUAUUAGAUUGCCAACUCUAAUGCAAACAAUACUGUGUUGUCCUUCUGUCCUCCAUUUGUAACAGGGGAGGCAAAGACUUGUGCUCAGAUCUCUUGAGUGAGGGAGAAGGGGGUGGGCGGGCAGAAUCGCUGUCAUCCUGAGUAUUUGCCCAGGGGACCAGAAAGUGUGCGAAAGCAUCACAGGGUGGGGAUUAGUAGCUCCUCAAGUUUGAGAGGGUGUGAGACUGCCGGCUUCCCUUGCAUAGAGAAGGAGGCUCUUGAGUUGCUGCCUUAGGGGCACAAACAAUUCAAUGACCCCUUGAUGGUGCCUUCAUAGCUGGCUUUUCCCAUAGGAUAUGCAAGUUGCCCGCUGAGCAUCAGAUGCCUUUCUUGGAUGCUAAAUGCAGAACUUAAGGCAUCUGUUGAGAUUUGACUCAAUUACAGCUCUUUUCAAUCAAGAAUCCUUAAUUUAAAUCCAAAUGAAGGAAGUCACGCAAACCUUUCUCUGGAAGACAUUUUUUCCCUUGUUUAAAAAAAGAACAUCUCCUGGUGACUUGGAUUUUCUUUCAAGCUUUGACUUUGCAUGUAACUUCAAAAUUAUUUCCCCCCACGUAUUUAAAAACUUAAAAAAAGAAAAAGCUAGGUACCCAAAUUCUGUGGAAAGAAAACCCCAGUUCUGCAACCUGUAUAAAUUGAGGAGGCAUGCAGAAUUUCCCCCUUAAUUUGCAUAACUUAUUCUGCUUCUGUUGGUCUUGGGGUGGGCAGCACAGUUAUGGCACAGUACCAUGUGCCUGAUACCAGAUCCACUCUUGUACCUGAAGUUAAAGUAGUACUCAGGUGUCUGCUCUGCCCAGCUGGGGAAGGAGGCACUGCCAGGCUGGACAAAUAGCUAAUCCCUCCUGAAAGGGGAUGUGCAGCAACAUCUUUACUGUGGUACCCUGGUUCUCGAACUUAAUCCGUUCCAGGAGUCCAUUCGACUCCCGAAACGGUUUGAAAACCAAGGUGCGGCUUCCGAUUGGCUGCAGGAGCUUUCUGCACUUAAGCGGAAGCCGCGCCGGACGUUUGGCUUCCCAAAAACAUUCGCAAACCAGAACACAUCCAGGUUUCCGGUGUUCCGGAGCCAAAUUGUUCGACAACUAAUCCGUUUGAGAACCAAGGUACCACUGUACUAGGUGAACGCUAUCCUGAGUGAACUUUAGGGCUUUUAGUUAGCUCAGGCUGGGCUUUUUCUUUGAACUCACACAAUCUUUUGGAACAUUUUAGUUUUAGGCAACUCUAACAAGUUGUGUCAAUUGUCAUUGGGCUGCAGUAGAGAAGGCUGUCCCUCCUACCUAGCAAGGGCAUAAGAACUGCCUUCCAGAGUAAGGUUCGAGCAUUUCCUUUUCAAGAGCAAUUAGCAGCCAGAUGUUUUUGCAAGUCCACAAGCAAGGGCACCUAGAAACUGACUAUCCCCUCCCAUCCAGGGUUCUUGAUAAGGAGGGGUUGUGACAGAUCAAACAGGAAGAACGUUUAGCUGAAGAUGCAGGGACCAUUGAGAUAGGUCCCCUUGCCCAUAGUGUCAGGGCAUUCCUUCAACAAAGUUGGUUAGUCCCUCAAAUUAGAAGAUGGUUUGGAAGUUGGCUAGCUUGUCUACCUGAAAACAAUAAGAAUCAGAAGCGGAGGGACUGUUGCCCUUAUUUAUCAAUCCCAAGGAAAACUAGAAGUUUUAAAACUGCCUGUGUCUUUGCCUUAAUAUUUGGCUAAUGAUUGCUCGCCUGCGGUGUCUGAAAUGAGGUUUGAUUAACCUUAUUAGCUGGAGAAAGAAAAUGGCUUUAUGGAGGACCAUGUGUAGGUGUAUCUGGGCUUCCUCACACAAUUCAAAGCUCCUUUUGUGUUGCCUGCAGAAAGAGCAGUUAAUCUUCAUGCAAGGCACAGUUGGGUUUCUUUAUAAAAUACUUUAAAAAUAAAAAUAAAAAAGGAGCUUUUAAGACUAUCAGCUACAUUUGCAAUUACCUCUGGCUGACCAGCUUGAUAGAGCUAAGCAACAGGGAAAGAAGAAUUCUCCAGCUUGGAAAAUUGCUGAGCGGGAGAACAGGUGUGAAAAUGUUCUGCUGGAUGGGUUUGGUAAGAUCCACACAACUUUGGCACCCGGAAAGGUAAGCUGCAAGGGAAGCCAAGAGAAGUAUGUUGGUGAACCAUUGGCGAAAACUGCACAAAGUGUGUGCUUGGAUUUUUUGGGGGGGGGGAGAAGAAGAGGGAGAAGCUGAAUCCUUUUUCCUCCCUGGUUCUGUACAGCCUUAUCAGUGUCCAAUGAAUAUUGUUCUGCAAGCAUAUUUCUUAUUUCAUGCUUCAUUUUCUCUUCUCCCAGAGCAAGAGGUGCAAUAAAGCACUUUGCCUUAUAAGCACCUGGGGAUAUGGUGUCAAAAGGAAUAUUUGCUUUUGCCGUAGCUAUAGAAAAAAAAAAACCCUGAGCUUAACUAAGGUAUAUUCUCUCUCUUUUUUUAUCCUAACCUGUUUGUGAUGAAGGAGUGUAAAAUAAGAGAACAGUAAAAAUAAAAGAAGAAGAAAAAGCUGAUGUGUAACACACAAACACCCACCCACACCCACGUGUUUUUUUUAAUUCAUUUUUUUACACUUCUCCAUGGAUAGAUGGAUGGGGCUUUUUUUGGGGGGGGGGAGUCUCUGUCCAGUCUCAACUUGAGAGGAGACAUGAGGAAAUGAAGAAGAAGAAGAAGAAGAAGAAGAAGAAGAAGAAGAAGAAGAAGAAGAAGAAGAAGAAGAAGAAGAAGAGAUAAGAGAAGCUAAAGUAACAAGGGAAGAAUAUAUUCAGAUGCAAUUAAUAAGUACUUAGGGCUAGUUUCAACAGGGCAUGUGGGUUGCUGCAGCCACUUUGGAAAAAUCCCCACAGGAGUCACUGGCAAGAUUGGCAUGGGCCAUGGCUGUGAACUUUUAACAUGCCACGGUGCAUAAGUCGCCUCAAUGAAUCCUUUGGUCCAUUCACAGGCUCUGCCUUCAUGUUUUCCAACACCUCUCUGCACCCAUGAAGGCCUAUAAUUAUUCUAACCAAUCUAAUUCUAAUUCUUACGGCACCUUAAAGAUUAAACAAUUUAUUAUGGCAUAAACUUUUGUGGACACAAGCCCACUACAUGAGAUGCAGCUCAAUGGGCAGGAUUCAGGUAAUGAAUCCUGCCAGCAGGAGUCUAUGCAAGGACUCUGAAUCAUAGAAUUGUGGAGCUGGAAGGGACCCAAAGGGAAAUCUAAUCUAGCCCACUGCAAUGCAACUUCUACUAGCGCGGUUCCCCCAUGUCCUCACACUGUGUUCCCCAAAAUUUGCACGGGGGUCAGGAAAAGCCCCAGAACAGUGCAUGGAGGAAGGAGAGUGGGAAUGGCUCUGACUGCAAAGCUGGAAUGCUUGUGCUGAUGGAAUGAUUGCCAUAGUGUUAUGUUGAAUUCCGAUCGUUGAUUAUUUCUGCUACUAGAGACUAACAUGGAAACCCCUCUGGGGGUAGAAACAGAAGAAAACAUGAAUCUGAGAUUUUGAGGAUUCUGUACCAGUUGUACAAAUCCAGUUAAUUUAUUUGUCUCCCUAACUUUUGCAACUUUAUUGUUUUCACCAUCCUGAAAGUCUUCGAUUGGGCAAGUAAUAAAGUUAAAAAGAAAUUCAUUGUCUACACCUCCUCCUAUUCAUAGAUUUCAUUGAUGUUGGCAUCUGAGCAGUUUCUUUCUGCCAAAGAAAGAAGCCAGCAUCCUAUUUUUAAAAAGUGUCCCGUCUUUGGCAAUGAGAACAUCACAUUACUACAACUACUGAUGGGGUGUGCAACAUACAUUACAUAUUUUUUGUGUUUUAUAUUGUAAAACGCCCAAUGUUCCUCAAAUGAAGGGCAGUAUAGAAAAUAGAUAGAUAAGAUAGAUAGAUAGAUUAAUUCAUUUUCCCAAUGCUUUAUUUUUUCCAUGAAGAUUUUUUUGUCCCCGUUUUGUGAGUUCAUUAGAAACAAUGGAUGGGUGCCAAUUGCAAGUACAAUACUGGGCAAGCUUGGCAGUUUCAGCAUUUUUAGCUUUGUUUGCUAAAUACAAGUAAAAUAAACAUGCCAAAUUAGAUCACUCUCCAGGGCAUCAGAACAUUUUAUAAUGCAAAUUAGCUGAUGCAAACUACCUAGAAAAUUUCGGGGGCGGGAGGAUCUGAUUCAGUAUUCUCUGUACUGGCCCGUGCCAAAGCAACCUCCUCCACCUGCAAAAGUACUUCUUACUCCUAUUCCAUUGCUUGCCUGGUGGGUAAAAAUGCAACAAAAUGGUGUAGAGGGCCAGUUUCUAUUCUAGUGUGCUGCACCCUAGUUUACUGAAUAAGCUACAGUGCUGUACAUUUCCUUUCGCAUAACCCCAAGAUGAAUUUUGAUUGCAUUUGGAAAGGUCAGUGUUUGCACUUAAGCCUUGCCUUGAGUAUCCUUCAGACUCCAUACAGUUGGACUGGAGGAAAAUAAAAUCCAAGUGAAUGGUGGUUUUCAGAGCGCAAAUAUUUGCAAACGGGUUUCCUCAGCUUGGGAAGUUUGCUUAUGCUUACAGACUUACACAGAUCCCAUCAGUAAGAAGUGAAAAUUAACACAUUCCCCCAUGAAGCUGUAUUUGCCAAGGAAAAGUGGAAGAAGCUAAUAUGUGGUUUGUUCCCUUAUGGGAAAGGGAAUAGGGUGUAUCCGAGUUCCACCUCUUUGGCACAAAUGGGUAUGGUGUUGAGAUGCUCCAGAACUUCCUAUGUCAGGGGUGUGGAACCAGAGGCUCUCAUGAUGUUGGAUUCCAAAACCCAUCAGCACCAGCUGGCAUGGCCGAUGGUGCCGGGUUGAUGGGAGGCAAGGUAUGGCAACAUCUGUAGGGUCCCCCAUCUUUGCUUUAAAUAAAACUGUAGAAUAUGUGCUCUGAAUCUUUGCUCUGCCUUUGUGACACUCUAGGAAAGCUCAAACUAGUUGUCUGUUGGGCCAGAGAGGCUUGCUGUGACAUAGAUUGAAAACUCCUGUAUUUUAGGUAAGGAUGCCACGGUGGCAAAGGGAGCACAUUGAUGCUUACCAUUUCUUUCCCUUUUAAAAAGAAGGACCACUUCGCUCAGCAGCUCUGCAGGGAACAGGCUGGUGGUGUGACCCUGUACUCACUGUAGGAGCUGUUUGACAAAGAGAUAAGCUGGUUGGGAAAAUGACAGCAUCUGCUGUGUUCCUUGGGGUUUUUAAAGGACACAUGGAGAACAUUUGCCCAUGGUUGCAUUAGGUGCUAUAAAUCCAUCUCAGGGUAGAAAAGGAGAUCUCCCCUUGCUUUCAGACUGUGACUCAAGGAACCCAGGUGUUCCUCAAAGAGUUCAUCAGUCAUUAACAGAUUUCUUUGAAAAAUGGCACAGCUUCUGGGGAUGUUCUAGAGCAGGUAUUUCCAACUUUUUCAGACCCAGGACCCACUUUUAAUCCAAACAUGCGUUUGGGGACCUCUUAACCUUUUACCAUAUAUUUGCAUGGUGGUAGUGCUUCUGUUGGAAGACACCUUGGGUUAGGCUGUGACCUGCUAUAGGUCCUGACCCACCACUAGGAGACCUGUGUUGUAGAGCACACAUGUAUUUCGUGCAAGGCAGCAGCGAAGCAGGUUUUGGCUUGCUCCCCAUUGUGUGCUCUGUAAAACAUGCCCCAGAAAUACUCUGAGAUUUGUGGGGUUUUCACUAAGGCAGAUAAGCAGUACGGGGAUGAGGAGCGCGGGGGGGGGGGGAAUUACACAGAAAAUGUUCUCAGUGUUGGCAUUUGAAAAUCAUUGGGCUACAGAAGAGCCCUCUUCAAUUAGAGUAGAAAUCAACCUCAUCCAGCUUUCUUUUUUCCAUAGUGGCCAACCACUAUGUUAACAUGGGUCAGGCAAGAUCCUAUGAUUUGGGUCGUAACAGCUCCUUCAGUUCUGGGAUUUGCUUCUGCUUGGUUUUCAUUCUGGUAGGCACUGUGGUCGAAAGCAGUUCGAAAGCAUGCCAGUGCAAGUAGAUAAAUAGGUACCGCUUUGGCGGGAAGGUAAAUGGUUCGCCAGAAGUGGCCUAGUCAUGCUGGCCACAUGACCCAGAAGCUGUCUUUGGACAAACACCGGCUCCCUCGGCCUAUAGAGCGAUAUGAGCGCGCAACCCCAGAGUCGUCCGCGACUGGACCUAACGGUCAGUGGUACCAUUACCUUUAAUAUAGUUUUGGAUGUGGCAAUCAGUUUGUCAUUUCCCUUCCACCUGAUUUCCAGUCCAGCAAAGCCUAGAUAGCGAACAGCCAUACUCUUGAUUCUGCAAGUGGAAUGCAGAGUUUCCUCUUUGUGCUGGAAGGUACAGAAAACCGCAUGAGAAAGGGCUCGCAGCUCUUGUCGAGGGACCCCCAUUUUGGCUCAAAGACUUCCUCGCGUUGCCCCAUCUCCAGUUUGCAAGUGAGGCUUUGCUUCACGUUUGUGUUCUCAGCCCUCCUGGCGAAGAUGGCCUCUGCUUUGUAAAUUGCUGUGCUGCCGGCUUUUGUCUAAGCUACAGUUGGAGAGCCUGCAGAAGCUUAGAAAGGUCUUGGCACUCUCAUUCAUUAUUGCGGAAUGUGGAUUUGAGGGCACGCCUGUGUCGGUUUCGUUUCAACUCCCAACGCUUUUUGCGGGAAGCUUGGCCAAAGCGAGCUCUCGCCUUAAUGUCAUUCAAAAGCCUCAUAGUAAACACAUCAUGUGGUUAACCUUUAAUGCGGAGUAACAUUUAAAAGAAAGAGUUUGCAUCUUUAACUGCUAAAUUACUACAUAAAUAUUUAGGUUAGGUGCAAAUAGGAAUGCAGCAUUAUUUAUGGGCCCACGUUUCCUUGGCAUUUUCAGAGGCACGCUCAUUGUGCUCCUAAACAAAUGCAGUGGAAAGAGGUGCCUUAGGAAAAUGGCCUGCUGAUUCCAGAGCUUUGCAAACCUACAGAGAGAGAGAGUUGAGCCUUUUUCUGCCUUCCUUGCUCAGUCUCUUAUUUUGCAGUUCUACUAAGAUAACUUAAAAUAGACACAUAUGAAGCUGCGUACUGUGCUUCUUCUCAUUUGCACUUGCAGGUCACUUUCCACUUGUUGGCACCAAAUCAUAGUGCCUAUUGGGAUGUUUUUAAAUCUCCAUUUGAGAUGCUUUUGCCCGUAGCCUGUGCCAUUCAUUGUGGUUUCUCUGUGUUGUAUAGAAAGAGAAGGAGAAAGCAGUCAGUUGCACUAAAUGUCAUUGAAAUCUGAGAAGCUCUUGUGUUGACUUGAACUUUGCUCUCACCUACCUCCUUCACCCAUUCUGCUUCACCCCAGAUCUCCAAAGCUAUUUCUACUCCUUCCAACCUCCAGCUAGUUGUCUUUGUUUUGAUUUUUGAUUUUCUGUUUUUUAUAUUGCAAUUUUAUGUUAUAAACCACCCUGAGAUCUAUAGGCAUAGGGUGGUAUACAAAUGUAAUAAAUAACAGUAGUAAUAAUAAUUAAACAGACCAGCAGAAGCCCUGGUGAUUUAUCUGUUGAUGGGCACCCAUUUCAGAUUGCUAAUGGGUUGGUGAUCCUUCAUCCCUCCCUAUAACAUGAAACUACUUUUUACAUGAAUGUCAGGUGAAAGCUAGUCUAGAACCUUCUUUGUGGCACCCUAGUUCUGUAGGUAUAAACAGCAUUUUAUUUGUGAGAGCAUUUAGACAUUUGACCCUUUAGCCUGGAGAAGGGGGGCUGGUUCAGGGUUUAAACAUAUGCUUUAUGCCUAUGCCAUGAUUACAGGCCCAAGAGACUCUUUCUCUUGAAGUUGUAGAAUCGUGACCACCCUAGUACAUAGAUUAAUUGACCGUCAGUUCAGAAAAGACAAAAGUAAGUUUCUUGUUCUGCAUCACUCAGUUACUACGCAUGUUGGCCAAAUAGAACCACCACCUUCAGAGACAUUUUGUAUGCCGGUUGUUUAGGACAAAGUGUGGUGCACAACUAUUGCCUUCAGUCCGUGCUUGUUGGAAAUGGACGUCUGGCCUUUGUUGAGAAGUGUGUGCCGGGUUAGAUGAGCUUGAUAUGACCUGGCAGGCCUCUUCAUUAGCCUUGCUUUUGUCAAGGACUCUGCAUACUGGGCUCAGUGUCUUCCCAAACCCAUUAUGGUAUGGAAUUGACCACUCUGGAGUAAGUUGUUUGAACACCCUGACCUUAGAAGGCUCCCGACGGCAGAGAACUCCUUAUCUCGCUUUUUUCCUUUUUUUUUAAUUCACCAGCUUGUAAAUGUUAAAACUAAACAAAGCUGGAAACCAGAAGAUGACUUGGGAUUGCGGUGCUAAUGGUUCUGCCUCUUCCUUUCUCAACCUGCUAUAACUCGGAGACAGGAACCCUUGUGAGACCGAGGAAAGCUGCUGUCGUCCGUCUUCAGGUUUCUCUCUACAGAGAAGUAAGUGUUCCUCCAAAGCGACGUCUGACAGCCUGAGUUAUAGGGAACAUUUCAGCGUCUACUCUUUGUACGGAAGAAGGCAAUUUACUCGUAGCAGCAGCAGCAGCAGCAGCAGCAGCAGCAGCAGCAGCAGCAGCAGCAGCAGCAGCCUCUUCUUCCUCCGCCUCCACACCCUCUUUUCAUGCAGUGUUACUUGAGAAGUUGGCAUUGUAAAUGAUGUAGCAAUGUGCAUGUAUUAAUGAGGGGUAUAAUAGGCUUCGGCAGAACUGGCCGAUAAGAUGUGUUAAUCUUGUAUAUUAAAUAGUCCUACAACAAUGAACCUUAUAAUGAGGUUGUUAUUAAAUCUUUUCUUUGCUGGCUUUGAUUCAGGACAACUGGCGUUCUUUGGUUUGGCACAUUCUUAAGGCUGGGUUUUUUCAGAGGCGGAAGUAGGGAAAUGGCCUUAACUAGGUUUGGCACAUGGGAUGGUAAUGUGAGGCUUUUCUCUCUCUGUGCAUUCGCUGUCUUGUUGGCAGCGAGUGCUAGCGCCCCCCCUCCCCUCACAGAGGAUUUGUCAGUAUGACCUCGACUCCCGUCUCAGCGCUAUGGCUCUCUCCCUACCCUCCCAACCCCAUCACAAGCGCUGUAAACAGAUUGUGUUCUAAUAAGGUUAGAAAAGCUGUCAAAAUAGCCGCUGUUUUGAAAGAGGAAAUUGCAGCAUACUCAAGCGAAUGCCGUGCUGGAUGGUUCUAAUGAGAGCAGUCCGGAGACAGUUAGCUUUGUGGUACCUCUGAAAGGGCAGGACUUAUUGGCUUGUAUGGGCACCCUUGUUUAGCAGCAGCUGUGCUCUGCACCGUACCAGUGGCUGAUUUGUCUCAAUCUGAAAGACUUUUCGAGGCGCAGGGCUUAGAAAUGAGGCAAUAACAUCAACCUAAUGGAAAAUGUGCCCAGAUUUAUUUAUUUAUUUUGGUGUGUGUGUGCGCGCACAUACGCACACAUACAGGGAGUAAGUGUUUGUAAGAGACUGUCUAAUAUAACCAUCCUUUCUAAGGCUUACUGUAGUGUCCUGUUUGGCUUCUCUAGAGUGUGGCUUGGCUUUCUUCCUCCACGCUCAUUUCUGCAGCCCAUACUGUGUUCUGGUGAGGGCCAAGGGCACAUUGUUCAGCACUGCUGCAGAAGUUCUGUCCCGUACUUGGAUGCUAGACCACUUAGGAACCCUGUAUACACAUCUUUCACCUUCCUGGAGAGAAGGUGGAAUCUGAAUGUCAUAAUUGGUUGCACAAAAAUGUGAAUAAGCUGGUGGUUGGCUGAUGUUCUUUAGUGAGGGAAGAGCCCUGAUUUAAUUGAUGGGCUCCUUUCCUCAUUUUUCAGCUUGCAGUUUUUGUCGAAUCGCAUUAGCGGAUGUGACUUCAAGGCAGUCUCUUGCGAGAAGAUGCAACUGAAUGCAAGAUGGUGGGCGGGUUAGGCAGCAAGCUUAAGGUGAAGGAUUCUUACCCAUGCCUCCCUAUUUCUAAGGCGAGGGUUUUGAUUAUCAUAGCUUCAUACAUUACAUCGAAAUCAUCUUUGGCAAACGUCUAUCAAAAUUCUCUUUAAAAAGUUCCUGCAAGAAAUUGAUUCUGUGUUGAAGAGUAUAGGCAGCUACUCAGUGAAGUGAAAGAGAGAGAGAAUCUGCUCUAGUUUCAAUCUCAUUUUUUUCUCCUUGGUCCAUGUGGAAAGAUUUAUGUGCAUAAAUUUGUUGAGAACCAGGAUGGCAGUUUCCAUCUAGGAAGCCUCAAAUGCCAGGGCCCUUUUCCAACUUCAUUCAUGUUGCAAGUUUUUGGUAUAUCCAUGUUCCUUCCCAGAAAUAAGUGAGUUAUAGCAUCAAAGAGGUACCACUUCUACUAACCAUGCAUAGCACAACCUUCCCCCUGCAGUGACUGGGCAGCAGAGAGAACCAAACACUAGUACUGCACAGUGCCCCCUUGUCCUGCUCACUUGCUAGUCGUCUUCUUGCUCAGUGGCAAAACCUAUGUGCUUUUCAUGUAGAAUAUUCUACAUUCAAUCUCUGUUAAAGGAUCUUAGGCAGCAGUGCUACCACCCGAGGCUUUGAAGACCUGCUAUCAGAGGAAACAUUGCUUGGUGAAAUAGAUCAAUGAACUCUCUAAACGUAAGGCAGUUCCACAUGUCCCUUUAUUCUGUCCUCCCCACACCUGGUGUCCUCCAUGUGUUUUGUGCUAUGGCUCACGUCAGCCCCAGCCAGGAUGGCCAUUUACCUUUUGCCAGCUUUGGUUGGUGCACCAACUGCGGCUGUUCCUGGACUAGGUAGAGUCUGGCCAUAGUGAUCCACGCAUUGGUAACUGCGAGGCUCAACUGCUGCCAUGCAAUCUGUGUAGGGCUGCCUUGGAAGCUGGUCUGGAAGCUGCAGGUGGGGCACAAUGCAGUAGCAUGGCAGUGUGGGGCAGCCUAUAGGAAA